AUUCCCCGACCUUAGCCCCCAGCCUAUGCUGGGUGUAGUUCGGAGGCGAAGCUUUCGUAAUGGAGAGAGAUUGCAUUAAGCCUAGAGCUUCGUCUAAAAGCGAAAGCUGAAUGGGCUUCUGCGGAUCCGCGAGGCCGGGCACGUGAUUGAAGCCGGUGGGGUGCAGACCUUAGUUAUUUAGAGUUGUCCUCAAGAGGCGAGUCUGGCUCUCCGAUGUCCGUGGGAGUACCGUUUGAUUCCNNNNNNNNNNNNNNNNNNNNNNNNNNNNNNNNNNNNNNNNNNNNNNNNNNNNNNNNNNNNNNNNNNNNNNNNNNNNNNNNNNNNNNNNNNNNNNNNNNNNUUUAGCUUGUUACCUCAGCUACGAUCUUGUGCCCUCGGCAGGAUCUAGUAGAUAGUCAGGCUUCUUAGCCUUUUUCAUUUGUAGAUGUCUGUACUCAGACAUGUUAAGCUUCCGCAUGUGCUUUGCAUUGUAUGCUAUGACUGUUGGGUCAUGAGACCCAUGUUUGUAAUAUCUCGCUCCACGGAGCCUAAUAAAUAAAUACUUUGAGUCACAGAGUCUUGUUGUGAUGCCAUGUUGUAUUUGCACAUAUCGAGCAUAUUGUGUGUAUGAUUGAAAUGCUUGGUAUGUGUGGGAUCCGACAAUAUAGUUGUUUAUCCUUGGCAGCCUCUCUUAUGGGGAAAUGUAGUCAAGUGCUUCCGUGAGCCAUAGUAGUCCGCUACAGCCUGGUUCACCGGAGUCCUGCUAGCCCAGCACUACUGCUCAGGACGCUUGACUGGCCGGCAUGUAUUUCACUUCAUUCUUGUGUCUGUCCCUUCGGGGAAAUGUCACGCGGUGACUCCGGAGUCCUGCCUAGCCUGCUACAGCCCGGGUUCUCGGAGUCCUGUUAGCCCAGUGCUACAGCCCGGAUUCACACGCUGCUGACCGACAUGCUCGAGGUUGAUUCAUGUAUGCCUGUCCCCACGGGUUAGUGCCGCUUUGGGUUCACGACUAGCCAUGUCGGCCCGGGUUCUCUGUCAUAUGGAUGCUAGCAACACUAUCAUAUACAUGAGCCAAAAGGCGCAAACGGUCCCGGGCCAUGGUAAGGCGACACCCGUGGGAAUACCGUGCGUGAGGCCGCAAAGUGAUAUGAGGUGUUACCGGCUAGAUCGAUGUGACUUGGUAUCGGGGUCCUGGCAGCUUUGGUAUCAGAGCCUGACUACCUGUACGAUUACCAAGCCAAACUGGUCGAAGUCGAGUCUAGAAAUGCUUUAGUUAUGUAAGGGAAUUGAUUGUGGAAGGGAACGUAAGGCUCUUUUUACUCCUUAUAUCAUCAUGACCUUCUGAUCUGAGUCAUCUUAUCCUUUCUACAGGGAUUAAGAACUAGGCUUCUCUUCUAUCUCUGAGGAUGAUGUGUUACUAAACCGUAGUUGCCCAGGAUUGUUGAGUUCAAGCCUCAGUUCAGUUCCUACUACUUCUGUAUGUUGACCCUUGAUCCCGGAACUUUGAUAUUGUGAUGUUGAGUGGUUAUGCCACCGUUUUGCAGGAUGUCUCAAAUCUUUUCGAGCAUUUACAGCCAUUAUGCUGUCCGAGUCAUCCGAGGUUUCUAAACAAUCUGAUGCAUUUGCAAAUCCCUUCUUUCCAUUCCGAUGUCUCUUUGGGCCAGUUUAACCACACUAAUCGGUGAGUUGAGGUACUUUGUUGCCUCGACAUAUAUGUUGGAGCUAGUAUUAUGACCCUAGGUGUCUUAGAGGAUCACCUAGUAAAUCUGGCCAUGUUUUGUGUUCCCAGUGUGAUGAAUCUGGCCGUCAUUCUCGAAAGCAUCCCAUGAUGCCAUUUAGUAGUAGGUAUUCUACUCUUGGGUUCCUGACCCAAGAUUCACUCCACUUACCUUCUGUUGAUAGUGUUUGCUAGUUCCUUUAGAAUAUUAGUAACCUUUGCGAUAGUCCUCGAGGCCCGUGGUAUUUCCUUCUUCCAAAUACCAUGAACUACUUAUGGCAGAAGUUCUUUUGAACUAAAAGAUCACAACUAGAGUGAUCUUGAUGGGUUGUCCAUUCUAUAUUGUGGAUCUGCCAGUUCUACCUUUCUGCAUGGGUUAUCCGAAAGAAAUAUGUUGAACUCGUUCGACAUACUAAUCUAUGCAUCCACAACUCAGAAAGUUAUAUGUUCCUUGAGUUGUCCCCCUCUUCAGUUAUAUUCCGACCUUCAUCUAUCAAUUGAUAGUAAGGAGUAUUUGGCAAUCGUGUUUAUCAAUGCCUAUUACUCUAGUGGUCCGUCAAGUCAUUUUAUUUCAGAAUGACUAGGAGAAACAAACUCCAGUACCUGGUCCAUGUCUAGGAUUGGGUUAAAGCAAUUGUACUUCGCAGAUCAAAAUGCCAAUCCAGCUUUUGUUCUAUUCUACCUCGGAGUAUUACCCCCUUUAUGUCAUGAUUGUCAUGAGAAUUGCACCAUCUCUCAUGAAUUUUGAACGCAGUGAUACUUCUCGCCAUCAUUCUUCAUUCCUCAGUCUCCGUGUUGUUGUGACCGGAAUGCCGACAAGUGAACCGCGAUGUGUGAGAUCAAUACUCCUAGCAACCCAGUUGCUUGGUAGUUAAUGGACAAUAAGUUCAUUCUUAGCGUGUUGGUUAUUCAAUCAUCAUUCUAAGAUUAAUCAUGCUACCUAGUCCAUAUUUCCGGUGCACUCUUCGAUCAAUGAGUUAGGAUUAUUCAAUCCCUUACUCUUCUGAUCAUGUCGUCUUGCCUUGAAAAGCAAGAUUGUUCUCGAGCUUAGAGACAUAUCAGUGGCUCGUGAUUUUCCGGAUAUCUUCAUGGGAGUAUCACCAGGUCGUCACCUGACCGCUAUGUUGAGUUCAUGAUCAUGUGGGUUUUCCUCCAAACCACCCAUUCUCCAAGAAUCUGUGAUGGAUACCCUGAGCUAGUUUGGUAAGCUAAACAACAACUUGGAGAGUUGGAAGAUAAAAGCUUGUCCGACUUAGUUCAUCAUUAAGGGAUAUUCUUGGGUAGUGUGUGUUGAAGAAAGAUGAUAUCUUCAUCGAUUGGUCCCUGUGAUCAGUUGUUAGUUCUAUUGCCUUGUCAAAACUUUGACUUGAGUAUGGGCUAUCGUCAAGUCAAAUCAGAACCAACGAUGUUCGUAAUGUUGUCUUACUCGUGGUUGAUCCCUCGAGCAUACACCAUUACAUCUUUUGGUCUGACCAAUGCUAUCACCGUGUUCACAUGAAGGUGGAAGUCCAGUGAUAUGGAAAUACCGAUGAGUUGUUGUUGAGCCCAUCAGCAGCAUUUGUCUCCUCCAUGAUUCAUGUUGGACGUUGCGCUAGUGUUGGAAACUUGGUAAGCCUCGUGCCCCGUUCAUGAAGUAUAUGUUUGGAUGAAAGUAGUGACUUCCUCUAGAUUCAUGUGCAAUUGAUGCAAGUUGCCGCCGUGAAUUCGAGGGAGCUUGUUUUUUUGCUUCCUUUGGAAUCAUCUCAAGCCAGUCAUGCAUUCGUGCGAAGUAUUAUAUGGUUUGGUAGAUUAAUUACCUCCACUCCAUAGGUGUUCCUAGCACACCAAGCCACUGACUGAUUUGCACAAGGAAAAGGAGUCUGUUGUAUUAAUUCUAGAUCAUGCGCAAGACUUCGAUAUCCUCGAUGAUGGUUCGCAGCCAGAACUCGGUAGUGUUUUGUUGUAAGACUACUAUGUGGUCAUGCUUGUCUGGGAUAACGUGUUCACAUGUACGUAGCAAAACCAGCUGAUGUUUUGGAGCUUGCUAUCGUAGUUCAUCUCCCGAGAAUCUCACAACGUCAUCUCGUCGAUUUGUGUUGCAAACUUUCUUUUCCAGACAUGUUGUUUGAAUUAUCCUGUUACCAACCAGAUCUAAAUCUCAGGCAGAUGUGAUGGUUGGAACCUCUUCCAAGAACUAUGAUAUAGGUUCCAGUGAAGUGGACACACCUAGCUGGAAGCACUAUUAUUGUAGUAUCUUGAGUCAGCAAUUUGGCCACCCUUCCAUGAGGAGCUGGUAUGACUUAGAGCAUAAGUUGUUCCUUAUGGGUUCUUUGAGUUUCCGAAGUCAGACCUUUAUUUGAUGUUCCAGAUACCGAAUGGUAUUGUGUUAAGCUGGUACAUGAAGGAGANNNNNNNNNNNNNNNNNNNNNNNNNNNNNNNNNNNNNNNNNNNNNNNNNNNNNNNNNNNNNNNNNNNNNNNNNNNNNNNNNNNNNNNNNNNNNNNNNNNNCAGCCAUUGGUGAGCUUGUCCACGCGAGGUAGGACACAGGGGCCAAGCGGGUGCUGGACUUGCUGCUCCAUCUCCUCCAGCGAAGAGAGCUCGUCGGGGAUGGCCGCUUCGAGGAGGGCGUCCUGUACACCACUGGAUGGGUGGAGAAGGCAAUAGGCAUUAGUAGCACAGAAAUCAACCCUAAUAAAUAGUUCAUAUUUGACAACACAAGCAGCCUUUCCAAUAUGAUGAUUCUCAAGAAAGAGAAAAACAUUAUCCAAGAAAUCAAGAAACAAAAGUGAAAUGCUAGAUAGCAGCAUAACCAUUCAUUCAGGGAACAUAAGAGGUGGCAAAAGCAGCAGCAGGUAAUCCUUAUAACUAGAGGCUAAGCAUCCAGAGUUGGCUAUAGUUAGCUACUUCAUAGCAACUAACACCGGCCAAUAAAAAGUAGCACAAGUACUAGAUACCUAUGAGGGUGUGAACUUGGUGCCAAUCAGUUGGCCAACCUUGUGGAUAUGGAGAUCUUGUUUGUACCAGUACAAUUAGCAAGCAGUUGUCUAUUAUCGAAGCCAUUUCAUUUGCAACGGUAUCAUAAUAAAAAUGUAAUGUAAAAUCCUGGUGUUGUCACUAGCACUAUAGCAACAGUACUUAUCAGAAAUUACAUUAGCUUCUUAAAAAUGGAAAGGAGGAAUUGCAUCCUCAAUCAAGUAUGCUGGCAAUCAAGGCCGGUUAUGAGAUCUCAGGGGCCCGAGGCGAACUAGAAAACAGGGCCCCAUACAAAGCAUGGCACCAAAACGAGUGAUUUAUAUCGACCAAAGGUGAUAUAUAUUGUUUUGAGGAGCUUUAUCGUGAACGAUAACAAGGUGUAAUCCAUUUGAAAAAAAGGUGUGAAGCUGAUAUAUGUACACAAUGUGAUUGAAAUUCAUGUAAAGAAGAACAGUGGUAUUAGAUCUUAUGGCGUUUCUAUUUUUUGUUGUUGGAAGUUAGACAGAUGGAAGACAAUAACUUAUCUUUUGCCAAAAUCAUUUUCCCUUAGUUCUGGUACAAGUUUGUAGUAUUUCUACAGGCACAAUCCGACAUUCUGACUUGGACCAAUCUAACAAAAUGAGAUUAAUGUUGGAAGCUGAUAUAAAUACAGUCAGAGGAUUGACCAUGGAUUUUCAGCAUGAAUUCAUCAUAAAAUUCGCCUAGCUAGAAUUAACAAGUCCUGACCCAAAUCAUACACAAAAUCAGCGGAAAAGAAAGCACAGCAGAACCCCAUGUUGUUACCUGGUUGUCAACCCAACAGAACCCCCAAUCAGCCAAUUAGGCAGAUAAGUAUGGCGCACCAAUUAGCUGGCUGUCGCAGAACCCUAUAGGCAGAUAAGCAUGGCGCAUCAGCAAUCAGUCGUACUGUUUGUUAAAAGAGUAUUUUGUCCAUGUGUAGAAGCAAAUAUAGAAACUGAUCUUGAUAAUAUUUGGCAUACCGCAUACCCAAUAACAGAUUAAGGUGCAUAUUUGAUAGCACAAGCAGCAAUUUUUCCCCAAAAUUAAAAAUAAGAUUACCAAGCUACAGACUAACCACAUCCAGCACAAGCAAUUUGUCCCAUCAAAUGUUUACUAACGGCAGUAUAGGCACAACAGCACAACCUUACCUAGCGCCAUGGCCAUUGUUCAGGGGCGGGGCAUGCUUAUGUUGUACUGGCGCUUCUCCUUGGAGUUUGAGGAUGAGGAGCAGCACACGCACUCGCCGCAGCUGUCGUCGAGCAGGACAAGCCACGGUGCCCACCCUCGUCCCGGACGGGCGGCUGCAGGUGCGCCGCGUCCAUGGAUCCUACGGGAUGAGGUCCUCCGUGCUGCCCUGCUCGAGGUGGACCAUCAGGAAGCGAGGGCGCGCGUGGGGGCGCUGUAGACGAUGGAGAAGAGGCGCCAUAGGCGGCCGUAGAAGGGCCGACGAUGAAGGCGAUGCCGGAUGCCGAAACCCUAGCACGGGAAGUGGUUUUGGGAAAGCAGUUGAGGUCGAGAGGGGGAAAUCUUGCCGGAGGGAAGGAUGGAUCCGAGCGAGGCGAGCUCGGUGGUGUGCUCCACCCCGGCAAUAUCCGCCGGAAUCGCCCGAAUCGGGAGCGGCGGCUGUGGCGGCUGAGGGAACGGAGGAGAGGAUGGGGGUUAGGGUUACAUGGGUGUGGACUUUGGAUUAAAUAGGCUGGCUCGAAAUUUUUGCCACCGCCCGCGUCAGCGACUUAAAAUUUUGCACGUCCACGCGCUCUCGAAACUUCUGGCGCGUCCGCUUUUUUAUUUUUAUAUAUGCAUAUAUACUGUUGACUACAUUCAACUGAAAUAUGGGCCAACCCACCAGCCACACACUACACAUCAGUAGGAGUCAUCGGUGACGGACUGGAUAAUGUAUAAAAAAUCGAAUGGCUUGACCGAGUAAGUUGAUUUGUGACCAUUUUCAUGACAGUCCAUCAUGUCCAUCAUAAAAGGGCUACCUUCUUAGGUGGGCAGUCACAUUCUAUUGAUCCACGACGGUUUCCAUGACGGAUAGUAGAAAACCGUCAUCACCGGUGACGAUUUCUGAGAACGUCAUCAGAAAUCCGUCACGUAUUAACAGGUUUCUUGUAGUGUUCGUGUUUGCCGGUGAUCUACAACUACAAGUGGCAUCAGAGCCUCGGUGGUGUUCGGUCCAUCCUGGGCGCCGACGGUGUUUGAUCCGUCGGAGAGAUGGUCGGAAGCGACGAGGAGAAGGAACAGAAGAAGCUAAAGGAGGAACAGGCCAAGGCGGAGGCCUCGGCACUUGGGAAGUCCCUAGCCCGUCUCUCCACCGAGCAGGGAUGGAGCCAGAAAAUGAAGAUAGGGGGGCAAGAACUCGAAGCACUAAAAUCAUAGUAGGAUACAUGAUCAUAUACCUAGUAAAUAAUGAAAGAUCUAGAUAGUAAAUAUAUGUCUGUUGUUCUAUAAUAAUAAAAAAUUCAUAUCUAUUACCCCGCAAAAAAAUUUGAGUUGGUGUUUAGUUGCAUUUCGUUUGCAUCAGCAUCAUGUUCACAUGGCAGCGAGCUGGAAACAAUUGGCUUAAAAAUAUGAAUUGAUUCAGCCCUUUCUCUUUGUGUCUACACAGAUACAAUCAGGCGUCUAUUGAACGAACGUUCAGACAAUAUCCAUCUCGCAGGAUAGAAUUUGUAUAAUCUGAUUUUGCUAGCGCGACGUGAAUGCGUGAUUACGAACACAUAUUGCUAGCACGCCAUUGGCAAAUACGCCUGCACACCAUAGCACGCGCCCUAGUAGAUUCCUUUGACAAUUAGACUAAUUAGAAUUUACUAGUUAGUUGUAAAUGUUUCCAGUUCUAUAAUUCCAUUUAUACAAUUUGAAGGCAUAGAUAAACUAAUCUAAUGCUGAAAGUAAACUAACCCCUUUUUCUUUUGGUUUGGUCACUCCCUGUGGCCAGCCGGCCGGCAGCGCGCUCGUGAUCAUGGAUCGGCGACACUACCGCUGCCUGUCCCCUCCCCUCAACGAAGAGAUUCGACUCAGGAUCUCAGGCGGCCGGCGGUACGCUCGAUCUCAGGCGGCAGGAGUAGUGGGGAGGUUGGAAACGAAGCGAUUAGAGGAGAUCUUAAUCAUGCGUACGUUUUUUUAGGGAUGAAACUAUGUUUUUUUUGAGGCAAACCAACAAAGCUUUAUUCACCCGUCACACAGUUUACAGGGACGAACAAAAGAUCCCCAGGGUGGCCUAACCAUACAUGGCGGCCAACCCCGAGCGUUAACGCAUGCUUUGCUAGUCUGUGAGCCUCNNNNNNNNNNNNNNNNNNNNNNNNNNNNNNNNNNNNNNNNNNNNNNNNNNNNNNNNNNNNNNNNNNNNNNNNNNNNNNNNNNNNNNNNNNNNNNNNNNNNUGGCAAGCCGACAGGAAAAGUGUUUCAUGCUAAACCGGUCACCGCUUCACGUGGCCAUGUCAACUGUAUCUCUGCCGAAGAAGCUCAAGAAGAUCCCAACGUCGUUCUCGGUACGCUUCUUGUUAAUUGCCACCCGGCAUCUGUUCUUUUCGAUACAGGAGCCUCUCAUUCUUUUAUAUCUGAAAAUUAUGCUCGUUUGCAUAACGUUGCAUUCUGUGACUUGCCAUCCUCCAUGGUAAUUCAAACUCCGGGAUCCAAAUGGCAAACUUCUAGAGUAAGCCAUGGAAAUGAAAUCCAAGUCGAUAGACUUGUUUUCCUCGCAUCUUUGAUAGCCCUUAAAUCUUCAGAUAUUAAUAUCAUUUUGGGUAUGGACUGGAUGUCAGCUCAUCAAGCCAAAAUUGAUUGCUUCUCUAGGACUGUUCAACUCACCCAUCCUUCGGGAAAGAUAGUCAAUGUCUUGACCCGAAUAGCCAAGCGACAAUUAUUUUCUCUUAACGCCAGCCCUUUGCCAGACCUUGAGGACGUUCCGGUAGUCCGUGACUUCCCGGAUGUCUUUCCAGAGGAAUUGCCAGGUAUUCCACCUGACAGGGAUGUUGAGUUCGUAAUAGAUCUCAUUCCAGGAACCGUUCCGAUUGCUAGAAGACCUUAUAAGAUGGCACCCCUAGAACUAGCCGAGCUUAAGAAACAACUCGAUGAAUCCUUGAAAAAGGGUUUCAUCCGCCCUAGUUCAUCUCCGUGGGCUUGCCCCGUCCUAUUCGUUAAGAAAAAGGAUGGUACGGACCGGAUGGUUGUAGAUUACCGACCUGUCAAUUUGGUCACAAUCAAGAACAAAUACCCACUUCCCAGGAUCAACGAUCUGUAUGAUCAGCUCGCUGGAUCCUCAGUCUUCUCCAAGAUGGAUUUGAGGUUGGGCUACCAUCAAAUCAAAAUCAGAAACGGGGACAUUCCUAAAACGGCCUUUGUUACUCGUUAUGGCCAAUACGAGUACACCGUCAUGUCCUUCGGUCUAACCAACGCUCCAGCCACUUUUUCUCGGUUAAUGAACUCAAUCUUCAUGGAGUAUUUGGAUAAAUUCGUCGUGGUUUACCUCGAUGACAUACUCAUCUACUCCAAGAACGAGGAAGAACAUGCCGAACAUUUAAGGCUAGUGUUGAAGAAACUUCGAGAGCAUCGCCUUUAUGCCAAAUUCUCAAAAUGUGAAUUCUGGUUGUCAGAAGUGACCUAUCUGGGUCAUGUAAUAUCGGGUAAAGGUAUUGCUGUUAACCCUGAGCGAGUUCAAGCUAUCCUUGAUUGGACUCCACCUGAAUCGGUCAAGCAAGUUCGGAGUUUUCUAGGCUUAGCAAGCUAUUGCCGUCGCUUUGUCGAGAACUUCUCCAAAGUUGCUAAACCUCUAACCGAACUCCUCAAGAAAGAUAAGAAGUUCGAAUGGACUCCACAAUGUGAGCACAGCUUUCAGGAACUGAAAAGACGCCUGACCUCCGCUCCCGUACUGGUACCGCCAGACUUCUCCAAGGACUUUGUUAUCUACUGCGACGCCUCGCGACAAGGACUAGGUUGCAUUCUCAUGCAAGAUCGACACGUAAUUGCCUACGCUUCACGGCAGUUGCACCCACAUGAGGAGAAUUAUCCUACUCAUGAUCUAGAGCUUGCAGCCGUAGUCUAUGCACUUAAAACCUGGCGACAUUACCUCCUCGGUAAUCGUUGCGAAAUAUUCACUGAUCACCAAAGUCUGAAGUACAUCUUCACCCAACCGGAUCUGAAUCUCAGGCAAAGACGUUGGGUUGAAUUGAUCACAGACUUCGACUUAGGCAUAACCUACACCCCGGGGAAAGCCAACGUCAUGGCUGAUGCGCUAAGUCGUAAAUCUUAUUGUAACAACCUGAUGUUACAACAAAGUCAACCGCUUCUCCAUGAGGAAUUUCGGAAGCUUAACCUUCACAUUGUACCUCAAGGUUUUCUUUCCACCUUGGUAGCAAAACCUACUCUUACGGAUCAAAUCAUCGCUGCCCAAAAGCGAGAUAAGGGAAUAUCUAAAAUCAAAGAGAACAUUGCUAGCGGAGGUGCUAGUUGUUUCUCCACAAAUGAUCAUGGUGUUGUGUACUUUGAGGACCGUCUAGUGGUUCCCAAGAACCAGCAUCUACGGCAGUUGAUCCUUAAGGAGGCUCAUGAAUCUCCUCUCACCAUUCAUCCCGGUAGUACUAAGAUGUAUCAGGACCUACGCCAGAGGUUCUGGUGGACUAGGAUGAAGAGAGAAAUUGCUCAGUAUAUUGCCAAUUGCGACGUCUGUCGUCGUGUAAAGGCAGAGCAUCAACGGCCUGCUGGCACCCUUCAACCCUUAGCUAUUCCUGAAUGGAAAUGGGAUAAAAUUGGUAUGGAUUUCAUUACCGGUUUUCCUAGGACCAAAAGAGGGAAUAAUGCCAUUUUCGUUGUGGUCGAUCGUCUUUCCAAGGUAGCUCAUUUCCUACCUGUUCGUGAGAGUAUAACCGCUAGUCAGCUGGCAGACUUAUACAUCUCCCGAAUAGUGUCCCUCCAUGGUGUUCCUUUGGAAAUCAAUUCGGAUCGAGGAAGUCUUUUCACCUCUCGAUUUUGGGAAAGUUUCCAAAAUGCUAUGGGAACCCGUCUCUCCUUUAGCACCGCUUUCCACCCUCAGUCAAGUGGUCAAGUGGAACGCGUCAACCAAAUUCUAGAAGACAUGCUUCGAGCCUCUGUUAUCUCGUUCGGAAUGGACUGGGAGAAGUGCCUUCCAUUUGCCGAAUUCGCUUACAACAACAGCUAUCAAUCUAGCUUGGGUAAAGCCCCUUUUGAAGUUCUCUAUGGACGACGAUGUCGAACACCCCUUAACUGGUCAGAGACCGGGGAAAGACAAUUCUUUGGCCCGGAUAUGGUUCAGGAAGCAGAAGAACAAGUUCGUAUCGUUCGUGAAAAGUUGAAAACAGCCCAAUCCCGUCAAAAGAGUCAAUAUGACCGAAAACAUAAGGCUAUGACCUUCGAGGUUGACGAGAAGGCUUAUCUUCGGGUCACCCCUCUGAAGGGAACCCAUCGCUUCGGUAUCAAGGGCAAAUUGGCUCCUCGUUACAUUGGACCUUUUCGCAUUCUUGCCAAACGAGGAGAAGUUGCCUACCAAUUGGAACUACCUCCGCACCUCUCCAGAGUUCACGAUGUCUUCCACGUCUCUCAACUCAGGCGUUGCUUCUCGGAUCCUAUCCGUGAAGUGGACCACGAAACGCUUGAUCUCCAAGAUAAUCUUACAUAUCGAGAGUACCCCAUUCGUAUCCUCGAUCAGGCCGAGCGUACCACUCGACGUCAUAAUAUCAAGUUCCUCAAAGUUCAGUGGUCUCAUCAUUCUGAGGAUGAAGCAACUUGGGAAAGGGAGGAUCGUCUUCGACUCGAGUAUCCCGCCUUCUUCUCGGAGGAACCCAAAUCUCGGGACGAGAUUCUUUUGAGUGGGGGUGAGUUGUCACACCCUAGCUAGUCAUGCAUUAGAGUGUUGCAUCAUGUUUACUCUUUCAUCAGAAACUUGAAAUGGGGAUGACAGAACCCCCAGUCCCCUCUGAAACCAACUAGGGUUUACUAAAAUAAUUUUCAAUGAACCUGAAAUGCCCUUCUAAAAUGCCCAUCAUUUUUGUCUUGGUUCAGAACCUCUGCCAAAAGUGGUGCACAUUUUCCUAGGCCAUCCUAGGGUUUUGAAUUAAAUCAUAACUAUUUGAAUUUGGGCAUUUAAAAUAAUAUAAAAUAUUUAAAUGNNNNNNNNNNNNNNNNNNNNNNNNNNNNNNNNNNNNNNNNNNNNNNNNNNNNNNNNNNNNNNNNNNNNNNNNNNNNNNNNNNNNNNNNNNNNNNNNNNNNGGAGCCAGCUAAGAAGCCACCCCCUCAGGCUUCAUCUCCACUGCUAACUUUGAGCUUCCCAAGCCUGCGCGCUGCCCCUGACGCGGGUUCGGCUGGAGAGGUGGGCCGACCAGCAGUGUGCCUUGAGCCUGGGUCUUUGCCGCCUUUCCAUCGCGACCUUGCCCGGGACGUGAUCAGCUUGCCCUAGGCCCCUCCUCUGAUCGUGAACAGUGAAUGGUUGAAGUCGAUCUUCGGCUCUUCUUCUGGGGAUGGAUCUGCACUGGCCUGGGUCCCUUGCGGGGCCCAUCCAGCGAUUGUGGGGGCACCAGCCCCUAGCCCCCUGUCGAGAGGGGGCGAACCACUUCAGGGCCCUCCGCCAACACCGGCGGCGGAGGACGAUAUCGACGACAUGCUCAAGCGUGUGUGGGAGUGCAGCGCCAUCCGCUAAGAGUUUCUCCGGAAGGCGACAGACGCGAUGGGCCAGCUCGGUGGAGAGCUCGCGGACGUGGACGCGUGUCUUGAAGCCGAAGGCCUGCGGCUGGUUGAGGAGCGGUGCAAGCUAAAGGUGGGAGUCAUCCUUGCGUGUCAUCAGCGUGAUCUUGAAAACACAAAGGCCGAAGCAUCCCUUGUGGCCUCGCGAAAGGCCUUCUCCCGAGCCAUUGAGGACGCUCAGGAGGCAGACCGAUGUCGCGAGAUCGCGGAGAGGCGCGCGUGGCAGCUCCAAGCCUGGAGUACUUCCCUGGAGCAGCAAGUGGAGCUGCGCCAAGCUGCCCUUGCGUUGCUGAAGGGGAUGCCUGUCGAAGAGGAGGAGCUCCAGAAGCGCGAGGAAUCGCUAACGCUGGAGGCUGCCGAGCGCAACCUCGAUCUUGAGCGGUUGGAGACGAGGGAGCACCAGGUUACCCAGGCGGAGGACGACGUCGGUGCGCGGGAGGCCCGAAUCCAAGAAGAGAUCGAACGCCGCGUAGCGGAAGUCCACGCGGGCCUUGUGUGUGAGUAUGGUGAGAAGUUGGAGCUGAUCGAAGUCGAGGCUGCGAGCAGGACUGCCGCUCUCAGGACCAAGUUGACCGAAGCGACGCGGUGCGCGGAGGCCACCACAGCUGCCCUAGCCACGGCGCAGGCCGAGUGGGUCUCGUCCCUUGUUGAGUUGCUUCUUCUCCAACAGAGGGUCGAUGACGCCGAGGCCAUUGCUCGGCGGAACGAAGAAGAGAUUGCCAGACGCUGGAGCACAUGCAUGACCCCAUGCUCCAAACGCUCAGGGACAGGGCCAACACGGACCUUGGCAAUAUCUGUGAUGCGACUGCUAGACAACCUCAUGUGACCAAGUAUGCCGGCAAUCUCCAGUUAUUCACUGACGUGGUGACGCAUAUGGAGAAGGAACAAUGCUACUAUCCUUUUUACCACACUUGUGCUUUAAAGUAGCACGAUGAUCUUCAUGAUAGAGAGUCUCCUAUGUUGUCACUUUCAUAUACUAGUGGGAAUUUUUCAUUAUAGAACUUGGCUUGUAUAUUCCAAUGAUGGGCUUCCUCAAAAUGCCAUAGGUCUUCGUGAGCAAGUGAGUUGGAUGCACACCCACUUAGUUUCUUUUAUUGAGCUUUCAUACAUUUAUAGCUCUAGUGCAUCCGUUGCAUGGCAAUCCCUACUCACUCAGAUUGAUAUCUAUUAAUGGGCAUCUCCAUAGCCCUUUGAUACACCUAGUUGAUGUGAGACUAUCUUCUCCUUUUUUGUCUUCUCCACAACCACCAUUCUAUUCCACAUAUAGUGCUAUGUCCAUGGAUCACGCUCGUGUAUUGCAUGAAAGUUGAAAAAGUUCGAGAUUGCUAAAGUAUGAAACAAUUGCUUGGCUUGUCAUCGGGGUUGUGCAUGAUUAAAUACUUUGUGUGAUGAAGAUAGAGCAACAGCUAGACUAUAUGAUUUUGUAGGGAUAACUUCCGUUAGCCAUGUUAUUUUGAGAAGACAUGAUUGCUUUGAUUAGUAUGCUUGAAGUAUUACUAGUUCUUAUGUCAAUAUGAACUUUUAUUUUGAAUCAUUUGGAUCUGAACAUUCAUGCCACAAUAAAGAAAAUUACAUUGAGAAUUAUGCUAGGUAGCAUUCAACAUCAAAAAUUCUGUUUUUAUCAUUACCUACUAGAGGACGAGCAAGAAUUAAGCUUGGGGAUGGUUGAUACGUCUCCAAAGUAUCUAUAAUUUUUUAUUGUUCCAUGUUAUUAUAUUACCUGUUUUGGAUGUUUAUGGGCUUUAUUUUACACAUUUACAUCAUUUUUGGGACUAACCUACUAACCGGAGGCCCAGCCUUUAUUGAUGUUUUUUUUGCCUAUUUCAGUAUUUCGAAGAAAAGGAAUAUCAAACGGAGUCCAAAUGCAAUGAAACUUUCGGGAGUGUGAUUUUUGGAAUGAACGUGACCCAGAGGACUUGGAGUGCAAGUCAAGAGGCAGCCGAGGCUGCCACAAGGGUGGAGGGCGCGCCCACCCCCUGUAGGGCGCGCCCCCUAUCUCGUGGGCCCCUCAGGCGGCCACCGACCUACUUCUUCCUCCUAUAUAUACCCACGUACCCCGAGAACAUCAGAACAAGCCAUGAAAACCUAAUUCCACCACCGCAACAUUCUGCAUCCGCGAGAUCCCAUCUUGGAGCCUUCGUCGGUGCUCCGCCAGAGGGGGAAUCGACCAUGGAGGGCUUCUACAUCAACACCAUAGCCCCUCCGAUGAGUUGUAAGUAGUUUACCAUAGACCUUCAGGUCCAUAGUUAUUAGCUAGAUGGCUUCUUCUCUCUUUUUGGAUCUCAAUACCAUGUUUACCCCGAUCUUCUUGGAGAUCUAUUCGAUGUAACUCUUUUUGCGGUGUGUUUGUCGAGAUCCAAUGAAUUGUGGGUUUAUGAUCAAGUUUAUCUAUGAGAAAUAUUUGAAUCUCCUCUGAAUUCUUUUAUGUAUGAUAUAGUUAUCUUUGCAAGUCUCUUCGAGUUAUCAGUUUGGUUUGGCCUACUAGAUUGAUCUUUCUUGCAAUGGGAGAAGUGCUUAGCUUUGGGUUCAAUCUUGCGGUGUCCUUUCCCAGUGACAACAGGGGCAGCAAGGCACGUGUUGUAUUGUUGCCAUCGAGGAUAAAAAGAUGGGGUUUAUGUCAUAUUGCAUGAGUUUAUCCCUCUACAUCAUGUCAUCUUUCUUAAUGCGUUACUUUGUUCUUAUGAACUUAAUACUCUAGAUGCAUGCUGGAUAGCGGUCGAUGUUGUAAAGCCCAGGUAAUUAAGCUACAGUAAUCCCACGCUAAUGGUGCCACGUCACCACAGUUAUUGUUGUUAACCGUGCGAUGAUUCAAAACCAUUUCAAAAUUUAAAUUUAAAUUAAUGUCAACAAUAAAAGUUUUCAAAAUUUAAAACAAAAUUGUUCGGGAGGUGCCAUAUUUUGCAUAAGUAAAUAUGGUGUAAUAAACACAUUUUUAUAAAAUGCCUAGAUAAUUUAAAAUAAUUUAAAACAAAAAAGAAAUUACAAAAUAGAAAGAAACAAACAACCAAAAUAAAUAAAUAAAUGGACCCCCCCACUGGGCCUCGACCCAGCCGGCCCAAUCGGCCCAACCAUCCCGCACCCCCAUAACCUUCCCCACUCCUCCAGCUCGCCCACCGACACCCACACUCCCCCACCCCCGAAAUAUCCCCCCUCUCCCCCGAUUGGAUCGUGAUCGAGGGGGAGCCGCUCACCGCCGCGUCCCGAUGCCGUCUCGCCGCGAGGCCGCACCGCCAUCGCCGUCACCAUUCACCGGAGGAGCCUUGCCAGAGCUCNNNNNNNNNNNNNNNNNNNNNNNNNNNNNNNNNNNNNNNNNNNNNNNNNNNNNNNNNNNNNNNNNNNNNNNNNNNNNNNNNNNNNNNNNNNNNNNNNNNNGGAGCCAGCUAAGAAGCCACCCCCUCAGGCUUCAUCUCCACUGCUAACUUUGAGCUUCCCAAGCCUGCGCGCUGCCCCUGACGCGGGUUCGGCUGGAGAGGUGGGCCGACCAGCAGUGUGCCUUGAGCCUGGGUCUUUGCCGCCUUUCCAUCGCGACCUUGCCCGGGACGUGAUCAGCUUGCCCUAGGCCCCUCCUCUGAUCGUGAACAGUGAAUGGUUGAAGUCGAUCUUCGGCUCUUCUUCUGGGGAUGGAUCUGCACUGGCCUGGGUCCCUUGCGGGGCCCAUCCAGCGAUUGUGGGGGCACCAGCCCCUAGCCCCCUGUCGAGAGGGGGCGAACCACUUCAGGGCCCUCCGCCAACACCGGCGGCGGAGGACGAUAUCGACGACAUGCUCAAGCGUGUGUGGGAGUGCAGCGCCAUCCGCUAAGAGUUUCUCCGGAAGGCGACAGACGCGAUGGGCCAGCUCGGUGGAGAGCUCGCGGACGUGGACGCGUGUCUUGAAGCCGAAGGCCUGCGGCUGGUUGAGGAGCGGUGCAAGCUAAAGGUGGGAGUCAUCCUUGCGUGUCAUCAGCGUGAUCUUGAAAACACAAAGGCCGAAGCAUCCCUUGUGGCCUCGCGAAAGGCCUUCUCCCGAGCCAUUGAGGACGCUCAGGAGGCAGACCGAUGUCGCGAGAUCGCGGAGAGGCGCGCGUGGCAGCUCCAAGCCUGGAGUACUUCCCUGGAGCAGCAAGUGGAGCUGCGCCAAGCUGCCCUUGCGUUGCUGAAGGGGAUGCCUGUCGAAGAGGAGGAGCUCCAGAAGCGCGAGGAAUCGCUGACGCUGGAGGCUGCCGAGCGCAACCUCGAUCUUGAGCGGUUGGAGACGAGGGAGCACCAGGUUACCCAGGCGGAGGACGACGUCGGUGCGCGGGAGGCCCGAAUCCAAGAAGAGAUCGAACGCCGCGUAGCGGAAGUCCGCGCGGGCCUUGUGUGUGAGUAUGGUGAGAAGUUGGAGCUGAUCGAAGUCGAGGCUGCGAGCAGGACUGCCGCUCUCAGGACCAAGUUGACCGAAGCGACGCGGUGCGCGGAGGCCACCACAGCUGCCCUAGCCACGGCGCAGGCCGAGUGGGUCUCGUCCCUUGUUGAGUUGCUUCUUCUCCAACAGAGGGUCGAUGACGCCGAGGCCAUUGCUCGGCGGAACGAAGAAGAGAUUGCCAGACGCUGGAGCACAUGCAUGACCCCAUGCUCCAAACGCUCAGGGACAGGGCCAACACGGACCUUGGCAAUAUCUGUGAUGCGACUGCUAGACAACCUCAUGUGACCAAGUAUGCCGGCAAUCUCCAGUUAUUCACUGACGUGGUGACGCAUCUGGAGAAGGAACAAUGCUACUAUCCUUUUUACCACACUUGUGCUUUAAAGUAGCACGAUGAUCUUCAUGAUAGAGAGUCUCCUAUGUUGUCACUUUCAUAUACUAGUGGGAAUUUUUCAUUAUAGAACUUGGCUUGUAUAUUCCAAUGAUGGGCUUCCUCAAAAUGCCAUAGGUCUUCGUGAGCAAGUGAGUUGGAUGCACACCCACUUAGUUUCUUUUAUUGAGCUUUCAUACAUUUAUAGCUCUAGUGCAUCCGUUGCAUGGCAAUCCCUACUCACUCAGAUUGAUAUCUAUUAAUGGGCAUCUCCAUAGCCCUUUGAUACACCUAGUUGAUGUGAGACUAUCUUCUCCUUUUUUGUCUUCUCCACAACCACCAUUCUAUUCCACAUAUAGUGCUAUGUCCAUGGAUCACGCUCGUGUAUUGCAUGAAAGUUGAAAAAGUUCGAGAUUGCUAAAGUAUGAAACAAUUGCUUGGCUUGUCAUCGGGGUUGUGCAUGAUUAAAUACUUUGUGUGAUGAAGAUAGAGCAACAGCUAGACUAUAUGAUUUUGUAGGGAUAACUUCCGUUAGCCAUGUUAUUUUGAGAAGACAUGAUUGCUUUGAUUAGUAUGCUUGAAGUAUUACUAGUUCUUAUGUCAAUAUGAACUUUUAUUUUGAAUCAUUUGGAUCUGAACAUUCAUGCCACAAUAAAGAAAAUUACAUUGAGAAUUAUGCUAGGUAGCAUUCAACAUCAAAAAUUCUGUUUUUAUCAUUACCUACUAGAGGACGAGCAAGAAUUAAGCUUGGGGAUGGUUGAUACGUCUCCAAAGUAUCUAUAAUUUUUUAUUGUUCCAUGUUAUUAUAUUACCUGUUUUGGAUGUUUAUGGGCUUUAUUUUACACAUUUACAUCAUUUUUGGGACUAACCUACUAACCGGAGGCCCAGCCUUUAUUGAUGUUUUUUUUGCCUAUUUCAGUAUUUCGAAGAAAAGGAAUAUCAAACGGAGUCCAAAUGCAAUGAAACUUUCGGGAGUGUGAUUUUUGGAAUGAACGUGACCCAGAGGACUUGGAGUGCAAGUCAAGAGGCAGCCGAGGCUGCCACAAGGGUGGAGGGCGCGCCCACCCCCUGUAGGGCGCGCCCCCUAUCUCGUGGGCCCCUCAGGCGGCCACCGACCUACUUCUUCCUCCUAUAUAUACCCACGUACCCCGAGAACAUCAGAACAAGCCAUGAAAACCUAAUUCCACCACCGCAACAUUCUGCAUCCGCGAGAUCCCAUCUUGGAGCCUUCGUCGGUGCUCCGCCAGAGGGGGAAUCGACCAUGGAGGGCUUCUACAUCAACACCAUAGCCCCUCCGAUGAGUUGUAAGUAGUUUACCAUAGACCUUCAGGUCCAUAGUUAUUAGCUAGAUGGCUUCUUCUCUCUUUUUGGAUCUCAAUACCAUGUUUACCCCGAUCUUCUUGGAGAUCUAUUCGAUGUAACUCUUUUUGCGGUGUGUUUGUCGAGAUCCAAUGAAUUGUGGGUUUAUGAUCAAGUUUAUCUAUGAGAAAUAUUUGAAUCUCCUCUGAAUUCUUUUAUGUAUGAUAUAGUUAUCUUUGCAAGUCUCUUCGAGUUAUCAGUUUGGUUUGGCCUACUAGAUUGAUCUUUCUUGCAAUGGGAGAAGUGCUUAGCUUUGGGUUCAAUCUUGCGGUGUCCUUUCCCAGUGACAACAGGGGCAGCAAGGCACGUGUUGUAUUGUUGCCAUCGAGGAUAAAAAGAUGGGGUUUAUGUCAUAUUGCAUGAGUUUAUCCCUCUACAUCAUGUCAUCUUUCUUAAUGCGUUACUUUGUUCUUAUGAACUUAAUACUCUAGAUGCAUGCUGGAUAGCGGUCGAUGUUGUAAAGCCCAGGUAAUUAAGCUACAGUAAUCCCACGCUAAUGGUGCCACGUCACCACAGUUAUUGUUGUUAACCGUGCGAUGAUUCAAAACCAUUUCAAAAUUUAAAUUUAAAUUAAUGUCAACAAUAAAAGUUUUCAAAAUUUAAAACAAAAUUGUUCGGGAGGUGCCAUAUUUUGCAUAAGUAAAUAUGGUGUAAUAAACACAUUUUUAUAAAAUGCCUAGAUAAUUUAAAAUAAUUUAAAACAAAAAAGAAAUUACAAAAUAGAAAGAAACAAACAACCAAAAUAAAUAAAUAAAUGGACCCCCCCACUGGGCCUCGACCCAGCCGGCCCAAUCGGCCCAACCAUCCCGCACCCCCAUAACCUUCCCCACUCCUCCAGCUCGCCCACCGACACCCACACUCCCCCACCCCCGAAAUAUCCCCCCUCUCCCCCGAUUGGAUCGUGAUCGAGGGGGAGCCGCUCACCGCCGCGUCCCGAUGCCGUCUCGCCGCGAGGCCGCACCGCCAUCGCCGUCACCAUUCACCGGAGGAGCCUUGCCAGAGCUCNNNNNNNNNNNNNNNNNNNNNNNNNNNNNNNNNNNNNNNNNNNNNNNNNNNNNNNNNNNNNNNNNNNNNNNNNNNNNNNNNNNNNNNNNNNNNNNNNNNNCUUCCUACCAAACUUACGGCAAGGUUUACAUCAGGUCUAGUACACAGCAUGGCAUACAUAAUAGAUCCUAUGGCUGAGGCAUAGGGGAUGACACUCAUCUCUUCUUUAUCUUUUGCCGUGGUCGGGCAUUGAACCGAGCUCAAUAUCACACCUUGCAAUACAGGCAAGAACCCUUUCUUGGACUGAUCCAUUUUGAACUUCUUCAAAAUCUUAUCAAGGUAUGUGCUUUGUGAAAGACCUAUGAGGCGUCUCGAUCUAUCCCUAUAGAUUUUGAUGCCUAAUAUGUAAGCAGCUUCUCCAAGGUCCUUCAUUGAAAAACACUUAUUCAAGUAGGCCUUAAUGCUGUCCAAGAAUUCUAUAUCAUUUCCCAUCAAAAGUAUGUCAUCUACAUAUAAUAUGAGAAAUGCUACAGAGCUCCCACUCACUUUCUUGUAAACGCAGGCUUCUCCAUAAGUCUGCAUAAACCCAAACACUUUGAUCAUCUCAUCAAAGCGAAUGUUCCAACUCCGAGAUGCUUGCACCAGCCCAUAAAUGGAUCGCUAGAGCUUUCAUACUUUGUUAGCAUUCUUAGGAUCGACAAAACCUUCCGGCUGCAUCAUAUACAGCUCUUCCUUAAGAUAACCGUUAAGGAAUGCCGUUUUGACGUCCAUCUGCCAUAUCUCAUAAUCAUAGUAUGCGGCAAUUGCUAACAUGAUUCGGACGGACUUAAGCUUCGCUACGGGAGAGAAAGUCUCGUCGUAGUCAAUCCCUUGAACUUGUCAAUAACCCUUAGCGACAAGUCGAGCUUUAUAGAUGGUGACAUUACCAUCCGCAUCCGUCUUCUUCUUAAAGAUCCAUUUGUUUUCUAUCGAUCGCCGAUCAUCGGGCAAGUCAGUCAAAGUCCAUACUUUGUUUUCAUACAUGGAUUCUAUCUCCGAUUGCAUGGCUUCAAGCCAUUUGUUGGAAUCUGGGCCCGCCAUCGCUUCUUCAUAGUUCGAAGGUUCACCGUUGUCUAACAACAUGAUUUCCAGGACAGGGUUGCCAUACCACUCUGGUGUGGAACGUGUCCUUGUGGACCUACAAAGUUCAGUAGCAACUUGAUCCGAAGUACCUUGAUCAUCAUCAUUAAUUUCCUCUCCAGUCGGUGUAGGCACCACAGGAACAUUUUCCUGAGCUACACUAGUUUCAGGUUCAAGAGGUAGUACUUCAUCGAGUUCUACUUUCCUCCCACUUACUACUUUCGAGAGAAACUCUUUUUCCAGAAAGGAUCCGUUCUUGGCAACAAAGAUCUUGCCCUUGGAUCUUAAGUAGAAGGUAUACCCAAUAGUUUCCUUGGGGUAUCCUAUGAAGACGCAUUUUUCCGAUUUGGGUUCGAGCUUUUUAGGUUGAAGCUUCUUGACAUAAGCAUCGCAUCCCCAAACUUUUAGAAAUGACAGCUUAGGUUUCUUCCCAAACCAUAAUUCAUACGGUGUCGUCUCAACGGAUUUAGACGGUGCCCUAUUUAAAGUGAAUGUAGCUGUCUUUAGAGCGUAUCCCCAAAAUGAUAGCGGUAAAUCGGUAAGAGACAUCAUAUAUCACACCAUAUCCAAUAGAGUGCGAUUACGACGUUUGGACACACCGUUACGCUGAGGUGUUCCAGGUGGCGUGAGUUGUGAAAUGAUUCCACAUUUUCUUAAGUGUGUACCAAAUUCGUGACUUAAAUAUUCUCCUCCACGAUCCGAUCGUAAGAAUUUUAUCUUUCGGUCACGUUGAUUCUCUACUUCAUUCUGAAAUUCCUUGAACUUUUCAAAGGUCUCAGACUUGUGUUUCAUCAAGUAGACAUACCCAUAUCUACUUAAGUCAUCAGUGAGAGUGAGAACAUAACGAUAUCCUCCGCGAGCCUCAACGCUCAUUGGACCACACACAUCAGUAUGUAUGAUUUCCAAUAAGUUGGUUGCUCGCUCCAUAGUUCCGGAGAACGGAGUCUUGGUCAUUUUGCCCAUGAGGCAUGGUUCGCAUGUGUCAAAUGAUUCAUAAUCGAGAGACUCUAAAAGUCCAUCAGCAUGGAGCUUCUUCAUGCGCUUGACACCAAUGUGACCAAGGCGGCAGUGCCACAAGUAUGUGGAACUAUCGUUAUCCACUUUACAUCUUUUGGUAUUCACACUAUGAAUAUGUGUAACAUUACGUUCGAGAUUCAUUAACGAUAAACCAUUGACCAUCGGGGCAUGACCAUAAAACAUAUCUCUCAUAUAAAUAGAACAACCAUUAUUCUCGGAUUUAAAUGAGUAGCCAUCUCGCAUCAAACGAGAUCCAGAUACAAUGUUCAUGCUCAAACUUGGCACUAAAUAACAAUUAUUGAGGUUUAAAACUAAUCCCGUAGGUAAAUGUAGAGGUAGCAAGGACUUCAGUCCAUCUGUCGGCUAGCAAGUCUUGGUCAGCUCUAAGCUGCUGCUGUUUUUUCUUGAGGAUGCUCGCCGUGGCCAUAAGCCUGCGUUUGAAACGCUCUUGUUCAACAGGAUCCUCAGGCACGACAAAUUCGUCGUCGUCAAGGCUUGCCUCGUCUUCGAAGGGAGGCAUGUAAUUAUCGUCCUCUACCUCUCUGUCUGCCGCUCUCUCAUGAGGGCUGGCUUCUCCAUCCUCCUGUGCUGAAUCCUGCUGGAGGGGGUUGUCUUCGGCACUGUCCGGGGUGUUACUAUCUCCCGUGCCGGAAUCGCCGUUUUUGCUUUGGCGGGAUUUAGAGCGGCGCCUCUGACGCCGGCGCUUAGGCUGUUUCUUGGAGGGGUCAUCCUCCGUUGUUCCAUCGCCAUUCCCUUCUUUUGGGGUGUCCACUAUAUAUAUGUCGUAUGACGAGGUGGCUUUCCAGUGCCCUAUAGGCGCUGGUUCUUGGUCGUCUCCUGCAUCGGCGUCCAUACCAUCGAUGUCUUCGGAGUCGAAGUCGAGCAUGUCGAUUAAAUCAUCGACAGUGGCUACGAAGUGGGUGGUGGGUGGGCUUUGAAUUUCUUCGUCGUCUGCAUCCCAAUCUUGCUGACCAUAGUCCGGCCAGGGCUCUCCUGAUAAAGAGAGAGACUUUAGUGAAUUCAGGAUGUCGCCGAAGGGCGAGUGCUGAAAGAUGUCCGCGGUGGCGAACUCCAUGAUCGGCGCCGAAUCGGGAUCGAUCAGCAGGGGCGCGGAAGGUUCGGAGUCCGGAAAGGAGUCCGGCACCUUGGAGUCACGAGCUUCGCAAAGGACAAGGCUGGUGUUCGUCUCGAUCGCCAUAGAGAUUGCAGCUCCCGAGGCAGUGUCCAGCCACCCAUCCUCGAUUGGGCAGUCGGCUCCGAGCUAAGGGUCGGAGCGGACACUGGGGCGGUCUCCUGGGCACUGUUCGGCGACAGAGCUAGAUCAUGCCCAUCGUGACAGUGCAGCGCGCUUGGCUGUGGCUCGAACCCGUCGAAGAUCAAGUCUCCGCGGAUGUCAGCCGUGUAGUUCAAACUUGCAAACCUGACCUGAUGGCCAGGGGCCUAGCUUUCGAUCUGCUCCAGAUGACCAAGCGAAUUGGCCCGCAGUGCAAAGCCGCCAAAUACGAAGAUCUAUCGGGGGUGAAAAGUCUCACCCUGGACCGCAUUGUUGUUGAUGAUCGGAGGAGCCAUCGGGCCUAAAGAUGAUGACACAGGGGAACUCUCAAUGAAAGCACCAAUGUCGGUGUCAAAACCGGCGGAUCUCGGGUAGGGGGUCCCGAACUGUGCGUCUAGGCGGAUGGUAACAGGAGACAAGGGACACGAUGUUUUUACCCAGGUUCGGGCCCUCUNNNNNNNNNNNNNNNNNNNNNNNNNNNNNNNNNNNNNNNNNNNNNNNNNNNNNNNNNNNNNNNNNNNNNNNNNNNNNNNNNNNNNNNNNNNNNNNNNNNNAUCACACCCGUGCAGCUGCUCCUUCCGCUGGCAUCCUGCCAAGAACCUGCCGCUAGUCCACUCCUCUUUGUUUGUUGGCUCGAAGCCAUCAAGACACUUGCACAUUGGGACUGGUGCCGCCGUCUCAUCGCAGUAGCCAUACGGGCCACAGUAACCAUGGAGGUUGCAUUCAACAGCUGGCCACUUCAUAAGGACAACCCACGCCGACAAGUUGCUACUCCAGCUCUUGAGGUAAUACUCACCUGAGUAGGUCAGCACUGACCUUGUGAGUGGGGCGCCCUCAGAGAGGCUAUAUGUGCCAUAGAUCUCAUCACCGUUGUCGACCACGGCGAUGUACAUGAUAAGAUCACUAAAACUCAUUGUCCCUGCUAGCUGUUUUUGGCUGACGCUAGUCACUUGGAUCCCCGUCCAGGGAUUGCCACGGGUCACCAAGCUCUCCCCGUCCCACAGGAAUACUUGGAGGGGUGUGUCUGGGUCGCCACCGUAGGAGAAGCGCCCUGGAGAGGGAUCGUUGGGGCCCUUCCAGGAAACCAGACGAUCCCCAGUACCGUUUGUGCUGUAUUUGAUCCGCAUCUUCAUCCCCGGGAGGAGCGUGUCUGUGCGGUGGUCGAAGCUCUGCCACACUGUGGUGCCGUUUGACAAGCGAAUGAUGAGGUUGCCGGUGUUCAGAAGCACCGCCGUCGGGGUAGAUGAGCCCGGGGAAAUAGUUGUCACGUUGGCCCUCGUCCAAAGGAUACGGACACUAUUGUUAGCUUCGGAGAUAAUGAGAUUGGAGGUGUUGGUGAGGGAGAGCAUGGGUGCAAAGGAAGUGAUGUUGGUGACUGGGGUUUCACGGUUCGCAACCCACACAACUGUGAACUCAGAGAUGUUGUUGUACCAUAUACCAAGGUACAGCUUGGCUGGAGUGGAGUUGGAGGGGUUGAAGAAGCCCAAGGAGAACGUGCCACCAUCGGAGAUGAUGGUGUUGCCGGGAUACAGCGACUUGCCAGGGACAAGCCGGUCGUCCGAGCCGCACAACGGCAGGAAUAAAAUGAUCAGGGCCACGGUGCAGAGAGCCCGAGAAUCCAUCAAUCGACAAUGCAAAAAUCUUCGUUACUAAGCAGUAACUAGCUGUAGGCUAUAUAUAGUUGCUGCCAAAUGGAGAUAGCACUUGCAUCGAACCUUGGUCUACAAGUAAAUAUGUUUUCACGAACACAGGAAAGCAGCUUCCACGAAAGUUCUAUCGCAGAAGCAAACGAUUGAAUAAUGGAAAGUUGAGGGAUUCAAGAGUUGGUUUCAAAGUCUGAGUGCGUAGUUUAUAAUUCAGCUGUCCACACUGAAAUUUGGAUGCCACCAUCACUGCUGACUAGAUAGCCAUGUUUUUUCUACUUUUUCUACAUUAUGUUUUUGAAAUGACUAAAAGACGCACACAUAAUACUUACGUAGUCGCAGACACAUACUUAAGAGAAGAGUCAUGUAGUUUCAAAAUUAACAAAGUUACAAUAUGGAUGUAUUGCUAGCAACAAGGAAAUCACCCACCACGAAAAGAAAAAUUUGCAUUAGUUAGUCAUACAGAUCGAGUCAAACAUAACGUUCGAUCAGUCUCGGUGGUGGCUGAAAAAUAUAAUUCACCUCCUAACCUUCUAACCAAUGAUUGAUUUUUGACUAGUAGCUAUUGACCGAGACAUUGACCUAUACUGACCCGGCCACGAUCAUAUAUGGUCCAGCUCCGACGCGGCUAUUGGGUCCCAGUAUUUGAAGUUGUUGGUCAAACCUACAGGCAGAUGCGUGCAGUACCAACAGAAAAUGUAGUACUUCCAUUCUCAGACUGAAUUUUCUACAGUUUUAAUGUGCAGACUGAAUAUUCUCUUCCUCGUCAUGUAACAGCUGAAAAACAAAAAGAACCUGUAUAGUUUAAAAAGAAAAACUUUGCAGAUGGGUGAUGGAGCUACAAGCCUACAAAUGGAUUGUACCACCAUAAGACCUACUUAUGAAACAAUUUUGAGCUAUUUCAUGAAACUUUUGUUAUUAAGUGUUCUUUCAUGGAAUGUAUUUUCUAGUAUGGAAGACGGAUAGCUGACCUAUCUUCCCUCUAGAAGAGUAAUAAUCAGAAUGUUCAUUGAAUUUUGAUUUUUACAUGUUCUACCUACCUAUCAGUUAGCUACUUAUUUUGAUCUUCGCCAACUACCAUAGUUGAUUUCUGCUCACGACACGAUGGUUUCUCCUUUGGGACACGUUUGCUGAGAAGGGUGUGAUGAUGGUGUUUAUGCUUAUUUUAUCAUCAUCUUAGACUAGCAGUUGCAGAUGAACGCAUGCUUUUCAGUUUUCACACCCAUCAAUAUGUUUAUCUAAACUCGAAACGUUGAAUGUGACGCCCAAAUUUCGUCGGACUGCAUCAUUCUAUCCUACAAUUCUAUCUUCAAUAAACCACAACUUAAUUUCCAUUAUGAGAGCGAGAGAGAACAUUGGGAUCAAUGCAUGGUCAUGUUUUUUAUUUAAUAAUCCCUCCGUUGCUUUAUAUUAUGUGUAUUUAGUUUCUGAUAAAAUUUCACAAUGUAAGGUGUAUUUGUUCUAAUUCCUUGUAAUUCCAUUCUUGGCCCUCUAGAAAAAGGAAAAUAUCUCUCACCUGAUUGCAUGUAUCUCUCCCUGUAUAGAAAAAGGAAACUAUCUCUCUCAUGAUUAUGUGUAUCUAUUUCUUUUGCCUAAAUGAUUUACUUGCCCCUAAUGAACGAAAUUAACAAGGGUGAUUUUGUCCUAAAUUUCAUAUAAUAAUGUGCCUUGGUCACUACCAAAAAUAAGACACCUUACAUAAAUGAAUGGAGUAUAAAUGUAAGUACUUUACUGUGCAAAAUGACAUAGCUAGCAAUACCUACAGAAAAGGAAUGAAAACAUUGGAAGAUAACGACCUCCAACUAACUGAUACAUUGCCAUUUUGUUUCUUUAACGAAAUGUUUUUAAUUACGUAUAAGACUAAUCAUAAUCAUUCUACCGCCCUUAUAUAUCCGUAAGAGUAAGAUUGUUCAUGGAGUUUUGUAUGCCUACCCCGGUUUCUAAAUUUCCUUUUUUACCAUGCAAAACAUGCGCUCUGCUGAUUUCAUUAAGAUAGGAAAAAGAAAUAGAAUACAGAAGUUAUUUACAAGGGAUUUUUUUGAAAAGAUUUAGAAGGGACUAGCUAUAGAAAACUACAUGUUGGACAUUACCUAUGCUGCUCAAGGUCACUGUUGGGGAACGUAGUAAUUUCAAAAAAAAUCUUACGUCACACACAGGAUCAUGGUGAUGCAUAGCAACGAGAGGGGAGAGUAUGUCUACAUAACCUCGUAGAUCGAAAGUGGAAGCGUUAUAUCAACACGGUUGAUGUAGUCGUACGUCUUCACGAUCCGACCGAUCCAAGUACCGAAAGCACGGCACCUCCGAGUUCUGCACAUGUUCGGCUCGGUUACGUCCUCGCCUUCUCGAUCCAGCAAGAGGGGCGAAGUAGUAGAUGAGUUCCGGCAGCACGACGGCGUGGUGACGGUGUUGGUGAAUAACAAUCUCCGCAGGGCUUCGCCUAAGCACUACGAAAACUAUGACCGAGGAUAAACUAGAGGGGAUGGGGUAGCCGGCACAUGGCUUGGUGUUUCUUGAUGUGUCUUGGGUGCUACCCUACCCCUCUAUUUAUAUGUUGAGCCUUGGGGUCGAAACUUGGAGUAAAAGCCUCCACAAAAUCGGUUUCACCCGAAAGGCAAGAGUCCUUCUCGGACUCCAGGGCCAGACGCCAGGGUCCNNNNNNNNNNNNNNNNNNNNNNNNNNNNNNNNNNNNNNNNNNNNNNNNNNNNNNNNNNNNNNNNNNNNNNNNNNNNNNNNNNNNNNNNNNNNNNNNNNNNGUAAAAGACAUAAAGUAAAAGAUAGGCCCUUCACAGAUGGAAGAAGAGGUUGUCAUGUUCUUUUAGGGUUGGAUGCACAAAAUCUUAAUGCAAAAGAACAUCACUUUAUAUUGCCACUUGUGAUAUGAAACUUUAUUAUGCAGUCCAUCGCUUUUAUUACUUACAUAUCACACGAUCGUAUAAAGCUUAUGUUCUCCGCACUAAUAAGUCAUACAUAUUUAGAGAGGAAUUUUUAUUGCUUGCAACAUGACAACUUACUUGAAGGAUCUUACUCAAUCCAUAGGUAGGUAUGGUGGACUCUCAUGGCAAAAACUGGGUUUAAGGAUAUUUGGAAGAACAAGUAGUAUCUCUACUUGGUGCAAGGAAUUUUGGCUAGCAUGAGGGGGAAAGGCAAGCUCAACAUGUUUGAAUGAUCCAUGACCAUAUACUUUAAUUGAGAUGUGAGAAAACAUAAACCAUUACGUUGUCUUCCUUAUCCAACAUUAACUCUUUAGCAUGUCAUACUUUAAUGAGUGCUCACAAUUAUAAAAGAUGUCCAAGAUAGUAUAUUUAUAUGUGAAAACCUCUCUUUCUUUAUUACUUCCUAUUAAUUGCAACGAUGACCAAAACUAUGUUUAUCAACUUUCAACAACUUUUAAGUCUCAUACUCUUUAUAUGUGAAGUCAUUACUAUCCAUAAGAUCAAUAUGAACUCUUUUAUUCUCUUUUUUAUUCUUUCUAUUUUAUCAAAAUCAUAGCAAGAUAGGAAAGCCUUGACUCAACACUAAUCUUUAUUCUAUAGCUCACGGACUCGAUUACAUAAAGGGAUCACAAAGCAAAAUUCAAAACUAAUUCAUACCAAAACUUCAUUCUACUAGGUCAAGAUAUUACAAAAAGGAUCGAACUAAGAAAAACGGUAAAGACAGGAGUGUGAUGGUGAUAUGAUACUGGGGCACCUCCCCCAAGCUUGGCAGUUGCCAAGGGGAGUGCCCAUACCCAUGUGAUUAUGUCCUCGAAGGUGAUGAAGGUGGAGUUGUUGAUGAUGUAGGCUUGUCGUCCGUCUUCCAAGGCAUAGGCUCACCAUCAUAGAACGAGUCUCCGAGAUCCUCAAAUCUGCAGCCAAACUCAUCCUCUUGAAUCUAUAUUCAUACUCACAGUUUUGGUUUUGCGGGUCAUGGAUCUGGGCUUGGAGAUGCUCGAUUUUUUCAUGAAGCUUGAAGAUGGUCUCCCCAAUGUUCUUGGCGUCCAGCUUGUGGUUGUUGGUGAAUUCCACGAUCAUCAUCUAGUUGGUGUUAGGUCCACGCUCCACCAUCCCUUGGCACUUGAAAACUUGUUGUUCCAUAGCUUCCAGCUUUGUCUCCACGCUUCCGGUACGCCUUGGUCCCUCCACUUCGCGGAUGUGCAGCACCCCCUCAAGAUAGGGGUUGAUAACUGUCGGUGUCCAAACCGGCGGAUCUCGGGUAGGGGGGUCCCGAACUGUGCGUCUAGGCGGAUGGUAACAGGAGACAAGGGACACGAUGUUUUACCCAGGUUCGGGCCCUCUCGAUGGAGGUAAAACCCUACGUCCUGCUUGAUUGAUAUUGAUAUUGUGGAUGUUUACAAGAGUGGAUCUACCACGAGAUCAAGGAGGCUAAACCCUAGAAGCUAGCCUAUGGUAUGAUUGUAAGGGUUGUUGUUGUUGUUGUUGUUGUUGUUGUUGUUGUUGUCCUAUGGACUAGAGCCAUCCGUUUUAUAUAGACACCGGAGAGGGCUAGGGUUACAUAGAGUCGGUUACAAUGGUAGGAGAUCUAUGUAUCCGUAUCGCCAAGCUUGCCUUCCACGCCAAGGAAAGUCCCAUCCGGACACGGGACGAAGUCUUCAAUCUUGUAUCUUCAUAGUCUUGGAGUCCGGUAGAUGAUGAUAGUCCGGUCGAUGAUAGUUCGGCUGAUGAUGGUAGUCCGGCUAUCCGGACACCCCCUAAUCUAGGACUCCCUUAGUAGCCCCUGAACCAGGCUUCAAUGACGAUAAGUCCGGCACGUAUAUUGCUUGGCAUUGCAAGGCGGGUUCCUCCUCCGAAUGAUAGAAGAUUGUGAACACCAGGAUAGUGUCCGGCUCUGCAAAAUAAAUUCCACAUUCCACCAUAGAGAGAAUAAUAUAUACACAAGUUCAAUCUGCUGACGUUUUUUGUGGCAUGACGUCACGCCACUACCAAGCCAUUACUUGAAUCGUUUUUUACUCUACCACCUCAGCGCAUUUAGCGAAGUGGUUUCCUUGGCACGUCUUGUCGAAGCAGAGAUCGUGUUCCCCCUUAAUCCGGGAUUCUCAUCAAUACGGACGUGGGUAACCCAACCGCGCCAUUGAUGGUGACGCUUGGGGGAUAAGCGAGUUUUACCAAGCUAGUGGGGGACGCGUAGACUUCGCCCGCCCAUAUAAGGGAUAAGGAUUCACCUUUUCACCUACGCCUUCUUCCUCCUUUGCUUAUCCAUCUCCGCGCACUCGAGCUCCAGCGCCCAAGGCCGCACAUCUCGUCUCAACCUUCCCCACUUAUAUCCGGAGUGGGAGGCAAGUGGAUGACCUCCUCCGUCACGGAGGAGCACAUCGAAAGACUGCGCAGCGCCGGCCACCUGUCCGGCGACAUCGCGCACCGGCUGCCCGACGAGGGGCAGCUCAUCCCCACCCCCAGGCCGCAUGAGAGGGUCAUUUUUCUUCCCCACUUCCUCCGCGGAAUGGGGUUUUCCACUUCAACCCUUUGUCCGGGGGCUCAUGUUCUACUACGGCCUGGAUUUCCAUGAUCUGGCACCGAACUUCAUCCUCAACAUCUCGGCGUUUAUCGUCAUGUGCGAGUCCUUCCUCUGCAUCCAGCCCCACUUCGGCUUGUGGCUCAAGACCUUCAAUGUCAAGCCGAAGGUAGUGAAGGGCACUCAUCCGGAGUGCGGAGGCGCCAUGUUGGGCAAGAUGCCCAAUUUCCUUUGGUUCGAAGGGGCCUUCGUGGAAUCCGUCAAGGGGUGGCAAUCGGGGUGGUUCUAUAUCACCGAGCCGCGCGACCCUAAGUGGGCGGAGGCCCCCGAGUUCAGAUCUGGUAUCCCCAUGCAGCUCACCUCCUGGAAAGAGAAGGGCUUGCUGUGGGGUAGCUCGGAGGAGCUGACGGGACUCCAAGCCUGUAUCCAGAAGCUGGUGAAGAAGCUUAGGCUGGUUAACAUGGUCCAAGUCAUGCUCGUCCGCCGGAUUCUCCCAUGCCAAGAGCGGGCAUUCAAUCUGUGGGAGUUCAAUCCGGAACAGCACCAGGCGCUGAGCAGGCUCUUUGACACGACGUACGAAGGCGCCUGGAGGGUGCUUUUUAAGGGCGCCGAAGCCCCCGCAUCCGCGACUGAAGAUCGCGGAUUUCGCUCGCAACGCCAAGCCGACGAGGUAAGUGAUUCUACCCCUUUACGGGACACUUGCUUUUCAUAGUUUGACUCUAUGCGGGUUUUAAUUUCCCCUUUUCCUUUGACAGGACUGGAUGUGGAAGGCGGAGCAGAUUAUCUGCCUGGCUCCCAUGCCAGAAAACCCAGUAGACGCCCAUCUAGCGAAGCUGCUGGUUCCGGCACCGCACAUGGUGCCGGAGAAGAAGGCCAAGAAGGAGGCCACGGGUGCUCGAAAGAGUUCCCGUUUUUAGGUGUCCGACGACUCCGGGGCGGACUCCUCCCCCGAAAACGAGGAGGAGAAAGAGGACUCUCUCCCAGAGGAGGGAGAGAGGAAGAGGAAGGCUUCCCCAACAGGGGAGGCCGAAGGGUCCAAGAGGGGAANNNNNNNNNNNNNNNNNNNNNNNNNNNNNNNNNNNNNNNNNNNNNNNNNNNNNNNNNNNNNNNNNNNNNNNNNNNNNNNNNNNNNNNNNNNNNNNNNNNNAAUGAUGGUAAAUGUCACCAUUAAGAAAGCUCGACUUGUCGUUAAGAUGUUUUCCGACAAGUUCAAGGAGUUGACUACGAUGAGAUUUUCUCACUCGUAGCGAUGCUAAGAGUCUGUUGGAAUUAUAUUAGCGAUUACUGCAUUAUUUAUGAAAUCUUGCAGAUAGGAUGUCAAAACAUUGUUUCCUCGACGAUUUUAAUGAGGAAAGGUUGUAUGUGAUACAACCGGAAGGUUUUGUCAAUCCCGAAAGAUGCUAAUAAGUAUGCAAAGCUCCAGCAAUCCUUCUAAGGACUGGAGUGAGCAUCUCGGAGUUGGAAUGUAUGCUUUGAUGAUGAUCAAAGAUUUUGGGUUUGUACAAAGUUUAUGAGAAACUUGUAUUUCCAAAGAAGUGAGUGGGAGCACUAUAGAAUUUCUGAUGAGUAUAUGUUGUUGACAUAUUGAUGAUCAGAGAUGAUGUAGAAUUUCUAGAAAGCAUAUAGGGUUAUUUUGAAAGUGUUUUUCAAUGGAAAACCUGGAUUAAGCUACUUGAACAUUGAGCAUCAAGAUCUAUAAGGAUAGAUCAAAACGCUUAAUAGUACUUUCAAAUGAGCACAUACCUUGACAUGAUCUUGAAGGUGUUCAAGAUGGACCAGUCAAAGAAGGAGUUCUUGCCUGAGUUGUAAGGUACGAAGUCAAGACUUAAAGCUCGACCAUGGCAGAAUAGAGAGAAAGGACGAAGGUCGUCCCCUAUGCUUAAGAUGUAGGCUCUUCAGUAUGCUGUGCUGUGUACCGCACCUGAAGUGUGCCUUGCCAUGAGUCAGUCAAGGGGUACAAGAGUGAUCCAAGAAUGGAUCACAGGACAGCGGUCAAAGUUAUCCUUAGUAACUAGUGGACUAAGGAAUUUUCUCAAUUAUGGAGGUGGUAAAAGAGUUCGUCGUAAAGGGUUACGUCGAUGCAAGCUAAACACCUAUCCGGAUAGCUCUGAGUAGAGAUACCGGAUACGUACAAUGGGGCAACAAUUUAGAAUAGUUGCAAGUAGAACAUUUAUUUGGAAUAGCUCCAUAUAGAGCGUGGUAGCUGCAUCUAGGAGAUGACAUAAAGAUUUGUAAAGCACACACGAAUCUGAAAGGUUCAGACCCAUUGACUAAAACCUCUCUCACAAGCAACAUGAUCAAACAUAAAACUCAUUGAGUGUUAAUCACAUAGUGAUGUGAACUAGACUACUGACUCUAGUAAACUCUUGGGUAUUAGUCACAUGGCGAUGUGACCUGUGAGUGUUAAUCACAUGGCGAUGUGAACUAGAUUAUUGACUCUAGUGCAAGUGGGAGACUGUUGGAAAUAUGCCCUAGAGGCAAUAAUAAAAGUAUUAUUAUUAUAUUUCCUUGUUCAUGAUAAUUGUCUUUUAUUCAUGCUAUAACUGUAUUAUCCGGAAAUCGUAAUACACGUGUGAAUACAUAGACCACAAUAUGUCCCUAGUGAGCCUCUAGUUGACUAGCUCGUUGUGAUCAACAGAUAGUCAUGGUUUCCUGGCUAUGGACAUUGGAUGUCGUUGAUAACGGGAUCACAUCAUUAGGAGAAUGAUGUGAUGGACAAGACCCAAUCCUAAGACUAGCACAAAUAUCGUGUAGUUCGUUUGCUAGAGCUUUGCCAAUGUCAAGUAUCUCUUCCUUUGACCAUGAGAUCGUGUAAUUCCUGGAUGCCGUAGGAGUGCUUUGGGUGUAUCAAACGUCACAACGUAACUGGGUGACUAUAAAGGUGCACUACAGGUAUCUCCGAAAGUAUCUAUUGUUUUAUGCGGAUCGAGACUGGGAUUUGUCACUCCGUGUAAACGGAGAGGUAUCUCUGGGCCCACUCGGUAGGACAUCAUCAUAUGCGCAAUGUGACCAAGGAGUUGAUCACGGGAUGAUGUGUUACGGAACGAGUAAAGUGACUUGCCGAUAACGAGAUUGAACAAGGUAUUGGAUACCGACGAUCGAAUCUCGGGCAAGUAAAAUACCGCUAGACAAAGGGAAUUGAAUACGGGAUCGAUUGAGUCCUUGACAUCGUGGUUCAUCCGAUGAGAUCAUCGUGGAACAUGUGGGAGCCAUCAUGGGUAUCCAGAUCCCGCUGUUGGUUAUUGACCGGAGAACGUCUCGGUCAUGUCUGCAUGUCUCCCGAACCCGUAGGGUCUACACACUUAAGGUUCGAUGACGCUAGGGUUAUAAAGGAAGCUUGUAUGUGGUUACCGAAUGUUGUUCGGAGUCCCGGAUGAGAUCCCGGACGUCACGGGGAGUUCCGGAAUGGUCCGGAGGUAAAGAUUUAUAUAUAGGAAGUCCUGUUUCGGCCAUCGGGACAAGUUUCGGGGUCAUCGGUAUUGUACCGGGACCACCGGAAGGGUCCCGGGGGCCCACCGGGUGGGGCCACCUGCCCCGGGGGGCCACAUGGGCUGUAGGGGGUGCGCCUUGGCCUACAUGGGCCAAGGGCACCAGCCCCAAGAGGCCCAUGCGCCUGGGGAAACCCUAAAGGAAGAGUCCCAGCAGGGGAAGGCACCUCCUAGGUGCCUUGGGGGGGGGGGAGGACUCCUCCCCUGGCCGCCGCCUCCUUGGAGAUUGGAUCUCCUAGGGGCUGGCGCACCCCCCCCCCUUGGGAUCCCUAUAUAUAGUGGGGUAGGAGGGCCUCCCAAACACACCUUAUGCCUUUGGUGCAGCCCCUCCCUCUCUCCCAAGUUACUCUCCUCUUCUCCCAUGGUGUUUGGCGAAGCCCUGCGGGAUUGCCACGCUCCUCCACCACCACCACGCCGUUGUGCUGCUGUUGGAUGGAUUCUUCCUCAACCUCUCCCUCUCUCCUUGCUGGAUCAAGGCGUGGGAGACGUCACCGGGCUGUACGUGUGUUGAACGCGGAGGUGCCGUCCGUUCGGCACUUGAUCAUCGGUGAUCUGAAUCACGACGAGUACGACUCCAUCAACCCCGUUCACUUGAACGCUUCCGCUUAGCGAUCUACAAGGGUAUGUAGAUGCAAACUCUCCUCUCCUUUCUACUCGUUGCUGGUCUCUCCAUAGAUAGAUCUUGGUGUUACGUAGGAAAAUUUUUGAAUUUCUGCUACGUUCCCCAACAUGAGUGUCAUCCCCUAUGCCUCAGCCAUAGGUUCUAUUAUGUAUGCCAUGCUGUGUACCAGACCUGAUGUAAACCUUGCCGUAAGUUUGGUAGGAAGGUACCAAAGUAAUCCCGGCAAGGAACACUGGACAGCGGUCAAGAAUAUCCUAAAGUACCUGAAAAGGACUAAGGAAAUGUUUCUCGUUUAUGGAGGUGACGAAGAGCUCAUCGUAAAGGGUUACGUCGACGCUAGCUUCGACACAGAUCUGGAUGACUCUAAGUCACAAACCGGAUACGUGUAUAUUUUGAAUGGUGGGGCAGUAAGCUGGUGCAGUUGCAAGCAAAGCAUCGUGGCGGGAUCUACAUGUGAAGCGGAGUACAUGGCAGCCUCGGAGGCAGCACAUGAAGCAAUAUGGGUGAAGGAGUUCAUCACCGACCUAGGAGUCAUACCCAAUGCGUCGGGGCCGAUCAAGCUCUUCUGUGACAACACUGGAGCUAUUGCACUUGCCAAGGAGCCCAGGUUUCACAAGAAGACAAGGCACAUCAAGCGUCGCUUCAACUCCAUUCGUGAAAAUGUUCAAGAUGGAGACAUAGAGAUUUGUAAAGUACAUACGGACCUGAAUGUAGCAGAUCCGUUGACUAAACCUCUCCCUAGAGCAAAACAUGAUCAACACCAGAAUUCCAUGGGUGUUNNNNNNNNNNNNNNNNNNNNNNNNNNNNNNNNNNNNNNNNNNNNNNNNNNNNNNNNNNNNNNNNNNNNNNNNNNNNNNNNNNNNNNNNNNNNNNNNNNNNGCUAGGGCGGGGAUCCCCAAGCAAAUGAGGCGUAAUUUUGACACUAUGGCCAUCCUUCUUCAUUGGAGGAUCUGGAAGGAAAGAAAUGCAAGGAUCUUCGAUAAUGCGGCGAGCACUCCUGACAGGGUUCGGGACCUUGUCUUGGAAGAUAUACACAUAUGGAGAUCAGCCGGCUGUAUCAGCGACUUGGCGACAUAAGCCUAGUCUGUUCUGUAUCUCAUUGGCCACUACUCGUGCGGCGAGAACGAGGGUCGAGCCUAUCUGGAAGCUGGCGAAGGAUAAUCAGUUCUCUGCCUAGAUGUAGUCCUGAUAACGGACUGAUUAUAAUGCUCUCUGUCUCCCCUGCGUUGACGAGCUUGUGUUCUUUUGGGUUUCAGCUCUAGUUCUCCUAGGCUGUUUCCCAUGCUGUAUUCUUUUCCUUCAAUCUAAUAAAGUACGGCCAUUGGCCCUUCGGUACAGUUUCUUCAUCCUCUUUGUGCCAUGGCUGUCCACCUCUUCGUCCUCACCAGUCCGGUCGCAACGUUUCCCUAGCACGCCUCCCACUGCGGAGCACACACAGCUCGAUGCGGCGUCGCCAUCAGACAGCACCUCUUCAACCACUCCAAACAGCGGGUCAAAGUCAGCGAAUCCCUCGACCACGCCUCUAGCUAUGCGGCCAUAGGUGUACCCGGCAGCAGCCUUUCCAUUUGCAGGAUUUUCUUCCAUCGUUUUGCAUUCAGGCAGCUGGUCAUAAUAAAAACACCAAUAAAUAUUAUUGUGACUAAUUUUUUCUGAAGAUCGACCGAACAGAUACCUUAUAUGACAGAACAUCAUGACGAGAGAGUAGAGACUCUGCUUCCACGCCGCACCCUACAUCAAGAUAGCACUGACACUACUAGGAAAAGGCCUACUAAUGGCGCACCGGUUUUGCCUACUAAUGGCACACUACCGGUGUGCCAUUAGUAUCACGCCACUAUUAUUUUUACUUAGUAUCUGGUAUACUAAUGGCGUACCAUGCAGUGCGCCAUUAGUUUUGCCCACAGUGCACCACUAGAGUCUGCUAUACUAAUGGCGCACCACAUGGUAGUGCGCCAUUAGUAACAAUUUUUUUAAUUUUUUUUCUUAAUCUCAGGUCACUAUUUCACAUAUGAGAUAUCGAACACAUAUAUAUACAACAAGCAUCCAUAUAACAAUCAUAGCCAAUACACAAGUUUCAUCAUCUAUACAUACAUAGCCAACACAUAGUUCCAUCGUUACAUAUUAGAAAAGUUUCACAUUGUUCAUCCAACACCGUUAUCCAUCAAUUCACAAAAGUUUCACAUUGAUACAAAAUAAAAACACAAAUGGAAAAGAAGCACUCCAUCCAUGCAAGCUUCCGUGAAUUAAAUCAAAUCUGCAAAAUGAUAAACAAGAAGUUAGAAGAAGAAGAAGAAGAAGACUAGAAGAAUACUAGAAGAAGAAGAACACUAGAAUAAGAAUAAGAAGAAUUUUCGAAAAAAGAAGAAUAAGAAGAAGACUAUAAGCUUACUAUGUAAACUUGAUCAUUUUGUGCUAACAUAAGUAAUUUUGGAGCUAACCUAUAGGAAACUAAGCAUAUAAGCUCUAAGUUAGCAUAUUAGAGCCAACUUAGGUAAAAUGAAGCUAACCUAUGUCAUUUUGGAAAAGAAGAAGAAUAAGAAGGAGACUAUAAGCUUAUUAUGUAAACUUGAUCAUUUUGUGCUACCAUAAGUUAUUUUGGAGCUAACCUAUAGGAAACUAAGCGUAUAAGCUCUAAGUUAGUAUAUUAGAGCCAACUUAGGUAAAAUGAAGCUAACCUAUGUCAUUUUGGAAAAGAAGAAUAAGAAAAAGACUAUAAGCUUAUUAUGUAAACUUGAUCAUUUUGUGCUAACAUAAGUUAUUUUGGAGCUAACCUAUAGGAAACUAAGCAUAUAAGCUCUAAGUUAGCAUAUUAGAGCCAACUUAGGUAAAAUGAAGCUAACCUAUAGGAAACUAAGCAUAUUAGAGAUAACAUAGGUAACUAAGUAUAUAUAUAUAUCAUUUUGGAGAUCUGACAUACCUGACAAAGUUCAGUUCUCAUGCAUUGUUCUUCUCCUUCUCCUUCCUCAGCCUGAUGCGCCAAGAGUGGCGAGGCAGUGGAGGCAGUGGGAUGUAGUCUUCUACCACAAUUGGCGUGGUCAUGUCGCCCAGCUGUGGGAUCGUCGGCGCCACCACCGGUGCGUGGUCAUUGUCAGGCACCACCACCAUCGCGAGACCACCUUCAGGCACGACCAUCGCUAGGUCAUCCUCAGCCACCUCCAUCUCUUGCCCAUGGUCAGCCACCACCAUCUCUUGACCAUUGAGGGAGUCCUGGACUAGGGGGUGUCCGGAUAGCCGAACUAUCAUCAUCGGCCGGACUCCAAGACUAUGAAGAUACAAGAUUGAAGACUUCGUCCCGUGUUCGGAUGGGACUUUCCUUGGCGUGGAAGGCAAGCUUGGCGAUACGGAUAUGUAGAUAUCCUACCAUUGUAAUCGACUCUGUGUAACCCUAGCCCUCUCCGGUGUCUAUAUAAACCGGAUGGCUUUAGUCCGUAGGACGAACAACAAUCAUACCAUAGGCUAGCUUCUAGGGUUUAGCCUCCUUGAUCUCGUGGUAGAUCUACUCUUGUAACACACAUCAUCAAUAUUAAUCAAGCAGGACGUAGGGUUUUACCUCCAUCAAGAGGGCCCGAACCUGGGUAAAACAUCGUGUCCCUUGUCUCCUGUUACCAUCCGCCUAGACGCACAGUUCGGGACCCCCUACCCGAGAUCUGCCGGUUUUGACACCGACAUUGGUGCUUUCAUUGAGAGAUCCUCUGUGUCGUCGCAAUCAGGAAGGAUGCCUUUUCCCGUCUUUAAAGACGGCACCGUCAUCAAGGGAGCUUUGGCCGCCGGCCAAACUAUCCGGCUAGGUGGUUUUCUUAUGACCGCCUGUUCGGCCACCGCUCUGACGAUGACCUCUCAGGUCAUCAAAAGCGAUCUUCACGUCAGCUCGGAAUUCGUCGAGCAGCUAGAUCCGAUGGAGCUCUCCUCCGUAAACGAGCUCUUGGAUCGCAUCGCCGCCCUGGGAGUCGCUACAGACUACGAUCAGAUAGGGCUUAAAACCGAUCUGAGAGAAAUUAACUCUCCCCAGGCUACCCACCACGUUGUUGUGGUAGAGGAACAAUGCGGCGACCCUUCUUCUAUGUUAAAAACCAGCUAUGUCCGGAUUCCCGAUCCCUCCAUGCCGGAUUCCCGCGGAGGGACGGACGUCAAUCAAAUACUGAACCUAAAGUCAGGCAUCGGACUAGAUUUGUUGGAAAGCAUCCAACAAACCAAGCUUCCAAAUCCGGAAACUUCUUAGCCUUUGAGCCUCAGAUCGGGCGGGGUUCCGAACUUAAUUCCACCCGCCCACCCAAACAUAAGCGAUCUAUCUCAAAUAUGGCAAGAGCCCGAUGAAACAGUACAUCAUUGCUGGCCCAGAUUCCUCCUGGUUAUGAACAGGAUAAAGGACUGCCGUGAAGAAAGCGCGAUUUCAAUUUUCUGCAACAAUUGCACGGACAAGGGAAUCAUAAACACCAUAAGUCGUCCCGAAGUUACACGCUUCGCCGACCUAGGGACCAUUGUACAAAAAUACUGGGCGAUGGAGAGUGCCUGGAAAACCGAAACCAGGUUUUGGGACAAUCCGGCCCUGAAUAUAACCCCAGUCCGAAAUAAAAGGGUGCGUCAUGCUCAAGCACCGGGAUUAAAAACCAAAAAGCAAAAAAAANNNNNNNNNNNNNNNNNNNNNNNNNNNNNNNNNNNNNNNNNNNNNNNNNNNNNNNNNNNNNNNNNNNNNNNNNNNNNNNNNNNNNNNNNNNNNNNNNNNNGAGAGCAGGAGCGAGAACAUGGGAUUGUAUCGAUAUGAUCAAAUGGUUGGUUGCUUGCCUGAUGGUUCGAUGCACGGAUACGGUUCUUCGUUAGGGUAAUCACGGUACUCCUCGGGGACAGAUCCUGUCGCAAAGGACAUCGAUACACAAGCAUCACCAAACAAUGUGCAACAAUAUGAUGCAUGCAUGAAACAUGGCAAUAUGAGUGUGUUGGGCUAAUGCAACUAAAACCAGAAGUGUUUGAACAAAUUUGAAUCAAGGAUUCAAAUUUCAAAUUCAAAUAUGGCCUUUUAAAGUGCUUUUCCUUGUUCUGAUUAAAACAUCAAUUUAACUUGUUUGAUCAUGCAUGAAAAUAGUACAGAUGGAUAGAUUGGAUUUUUCUGAUCAUUUUUCAUAUAUAAUUUGUCCAAUUUGGAGUUACAGAAUAAAAGUUAUGAAUUUUUGAAGUUUAAAUAAUAUUCUGGAAUUUCCUGAUUUAAUUUAAAUCCAGAAAUUCAAUUACUGCGUCAGCAUGACAUCAGCAUGACGUCAGUGGUCAACUGUGGCUGGCUGAGGUCAAACCUGACGUGUGGGGGCCACACGUCAGUGACAGGGGGGGUUAAACAGGAUUAAAUUAAUCCUAAUUAGGGGUUAGUGGCGCUGGGACCCACUGUCAGUGUCAGGGGGGGUUAACUAACAGUAGUUAGCGCUAACCUAACCACCUGGCCGACAGGGCCCACGCGUCAGUGACCCUGGGGGGUCAAACCCCAGGUCGGGCAAGUCAAACCCCACCGGCGACAUGACGCCGGCGAGGUCCGAGACGGCAGCGAUAGUGCUUUUUGCCAUUCCGGCAACCAAAUGGACGGCGGAAGGCACCUACGUGUUGCUGAGGUUGAGCCGCGUCUAUUGGUGGUGGUGGUUGGGCUCGGGGUGGCCGGAGUUGACGGCGGCGAGCUCGGCUGUGGCGGCCGGAGUUCGGGUGCGGUCGGGAUCAGCGUUGCAGGGGGUUUGGGGAAGCGUUGGUGCGUGCUGCGUGCUCCUAGUGAGGUGGGGAGCACGAUGGUGUGCUCGGUUGGGUGCUACGGCGACCGUGGCCACGACGGCGACAUCGCCGGCGGCGUGGAGGUCUCGGCCAAGGUGGGGCUAGGGCCUAGAGGUCGAAAGAGACCAGGGGAGAAGGGGGAAAUGAUCCGGGGGCUCACCGCGGAGCUGCAGGGAUGGUUAGCGGGCUCGGGGACGCGCUGGUGACGGUGAAUUCGACGGCGACGACGGUCGGAGCCCGAAGAGGGGAACGGCGACGUGGCGGCGAUGCAGGGCUUCCGGGGAGCUGUGGAGCGGUGGGGAGGAAGAGGGAGUCGAGGCGGAGCUCCUGAGCUAGUCGGGGGAGCGAGGGGUGGUCGGAGACGGUGGCUAAGGCGAACGGCGGCGACGGUGGUGUUCGGCCGGGCGAGAGAGAGAGCGAGGGAGAGCCGGGGGNNNNNNNNNNGGCAGGCAGGGAGAGAGGUGGCGUGGCGCGGUGGCCGUGCGCGCGCGCCGGCCACACGCCUGGCCGACUGGCGCCAGGAGGACGACGGCGGUGGUGGGCUGGGCUGGCUAGCUGGGCCGGCCAGCUGGUUGGGCCGCACAGGUAAGUUUUUCCCUUUUAGUUUUCUGUUUCUGUUUUUAUUUAAUAUAUCUGCAACUUUGUUGAAUGAAAUAAAAUACCUAGGCAACUCCAAAAAUCACCAAACUAUUUCUGGCCCAUAGUUGGAUUAUUUCCAACAUGAAACAUUUUAGUUUGGAGAUAUUUGAGCAUUUAAAUAUUUUAUAUUAUUUUAAAUGCCCAAAUUCAAAUAUUUAUGAUUUAAUUCAAAAACCUUAGGAUGGCCUAGGAAAAUGUGCACCACUUUUGGCAGAGGUUCUGAACCAAGGCAAAAAUGAUGGGCAUUUUAGAAGGGCAUUUCAGGUUCAUUGAAAAAUUAUUUUAGUAACCCUAGUUGGUUUCAGAGGGGACUGGGGGUUCUGUCAUCCCCAUUUCAAGUUUCUGAUGAAAGAGUAAACAUGAUGCAACACUCUAAUGCAUGACUAGCUAGGGUGUGACAUCGGGAAUGCACCAAAAAAGCUUCUCGACAGCUCUCUCCUCGGUGUAGGUGGCAUCGCCAAACUUCAUCAUCUUCUGCAGCAGAGUGUUGAGACGGAGAGCAAAGUCAUCAACGUCCUCACCUGGCUUGAAGCCCAGGUUCUCCCACUCCUUACGAAGUGCCUGUAGUGUGGACUUGCGAGCACGGUCGCUGCCGAUGCGUGCUGCGGCGAUGGCGUCCCAAGCCUCAUUGACAGUCCGCUUGUUGGAAAGCGAGAACUGCAUCUCGGGCGGGACUGCGGCGAUGAGGGCGUCCAGCGCCCGUCGAUCCUCUAGGUGGUCGACGUUGCUGUCCUGGACUGCCUCCCACAUGCGCCGCACCUGGGGCCUGACCUUCAUGAUCCCGGCCCACUCGAUGUAGUUGGUUUUAGUGAGGGUAGGCCACCCAACACUGGAACCAACAUCCCUGACCACAGUCGGGACCUCGUAGAGGCCGCGGUCCUGGUCGUUGCAGCCGCCGUCGCGGUGCGCGCCUCCACCUUGAGCGCGGGCGUGCUCGGCUGCCCACUGCGCCGUCCUCUCCUGCGCCACUUUGGCGCGAUCUGCGUCGGCGCCGUCGUCCGCAGGCGCGGAGCUGCUGGAGCUGCCGGGGCUGCCGCGGAGUGCCUUGGCAUCCGCCGUAGCCUCACGGGCUGCUUCUGCUGCUACUGCUGCUCCUACCUCCGCCCUGGCUGCUUCUACCUCCGCUCUGGCUGCUGCCAGCUCCGCUGCAGCCAGCCUCGACACCCUUGCCGCCGCAGCAGCUGCUGCUACAGCCGCUCGCUCACGCUCCUCUGCCACGGCGCGCUCGGCCUCCUGCCGGCGCCGCAUGCUCGAGGUAGCCGUGUGCUGAGAGCGACCUGCAGACAUGGCUCGCUGCAGGGGGGCUGUUGCGUGAAGAGGAGGCCGAUGAAGACGAGCUGCUGCUCGACAGUCCGGAGGGAGGAAGGUAACCAGAGGCAGACGGAGCAGCUGCUGCUACCGACUUGGGCUGCUCACAGGAAAUGCUCAGGGUACAGGUUAACGAGGCUCUGAUACCACUUGUUAGACCUUUCAGUCUGAGCAUUGAUAGUUGUGGAUGACACUAGAAGAGUUGGGACAAUUUUCGUUGGUUUAUUUCUCACACAAUGCCAUGCCAACCUGAGGGGUUGGGGAUACAUAUUUAUAGGCUGCUAGCCAGCCAAGGCAUAUGCUAAGAUGCUGCUAAGAUGCCAGUCUAAGAUGCUAGUCUAAGAUGCUAACUGACAGUCCUUGAUGGUCAAGAACAGAACUCUAUCCUAACAGCCAGUCCUUGAUGGUUCAGGACUUUAUCCUCCUAACUGCCACAAGGACCAUGUGCUGCAGCCCCACAAAGACCCUAGUACAUAAACUUAUCCAUCAACCUCCACCACCGCCCCGCUGGCCGCCACGAACAGCGUCCCUCCACCGCCGGUGCCGAUUACCUCCGCCGCCCCGGUUGCCACCAUCUUCACCCUCGAGGAAGUCACCGGCGCGCUCCGCGAUCUCGCCACCGCGGUCCAGGAGAUCCGCCUCUACCUGGCCGGCCCCCACGAGCCGCCGCCGGCCGCGCCACCCGCCGCCGCCACCGGGCCGCUGCUCCUACCGUGGCAGCUGCCCCUCCCGGCGGCCUCCGCCGCCCUCGCCAGCCCGUUGCAGCCCCAGCUNNNNNNNNNNNNNNNNNNNNNNNNNNNNNNNNNNNNNNNNNNNNNNNNNNNNNNNNNNNNNNNNNNNNNNNNNNNNNNNNNNNNNNNNNNNNNNNNNNNNGGUGAUAGAACAAUCUCAUAUCAUAAUCCUUAAUGAGCUCCAACCAUCUCCUUUGCCUGAGAUUUAACUCCUUCUGUGGGAAGUUGUACUUCAAGCUCUUGUGAUCAGUGUACACCUCACAAUGGUUUCCGAUGAGAAAAUGUCUCCAUGUCUUUAAUGCAUGCACUAUGGCUGCUAACUCCAAAUCAUGUGUAGCAUAGUUCAACUCAUGGGGUUUAAGCUGUCGUGAGGCAUAAGAAACAACUCUUCCCUCCUGCAUAAGCACCGCUCCAAGUCCUCGACGAGAAGCAUCGCAAUAUACUUCAUAAUCCUUGCGCUCAUCUGGCAGAAUCAACACCGGUGAUGUAACCAAACAUUUCUUCAACUCCUGGAAACUGGCCUUACAUUCCUCAGUCCAUUUGAAUUUGAUGUCCUUUUUCAACAACUCUGUCAUGGGUUUUGCGAUCUUCGAGAAAUUCUCAAUGAACCUCCGGUAGUAUCCUGCGAGUCCAAGAAAACUCCGGAUAUCUCCAACUGAUGUGGGUGCUUCCCAAUUUGUCACAGUGACAACUUUGGUGGGGUCUACUGCUAUUCCUUCUCCGGAUAUAACAUGUCCAAGGAAUCCAACUUCCUUCAACCAAAACUCGCACUUGCUGAACUUGGCAUAUAAUUGAUGCUCUCUGAGCUUCCCAAGUACCAAACGCAAAUGUUCCUUAUGCUCUUCUUCAUUCUACGAGUAGACCAAAAUAUCAUCAAUGAACACCACAAUGAACUUAUCCAGAAACUCCAUGAACACCUUGUUCAUCAUGUUCAUAAAAUAGGCAGGUGCGUUAGUCAGACCAAAUGACAUAACGGUAUACUCAUAUAGCCCGUACCUUGUGGUAAAAGCUGUCUUAGGUAUAUCCUGCUCUCGAAUCUUCAGCUGGUGGUAUCCUGAUCGCAGAUCGAUCUUGGAAAAUACUUUAGCUCCUUGCAACUGGUAAAACAAAUCAUUGAUCAUCGGCAGUGGGUACUUGUUCUUGAUUGUCACUUCAUUCAAUCCUCGAUAAUCAAUAGCCAUCCUUAAUGAUCCAUCCUUCUUCUCCACUAGAAGCACUGGUGACCCCCAAGAUGUUCUAUCACUUUUAGCUAGCACAGAGGCUAGAGAUGAGAUUAGUGCACUUGUUGAUACUCCUACUAGAAUAGAGGCUAGACAUGAGACUAGAUGUGAGGAAGCAACGUCUACUUCUUUACACUCGAAGAAGAAAGAAGCACGCAAGAUCGAGCCUCCGCAGAUCAACAAUGAAUGCAUCGAGAAGGCACUAAUCCAACUUAUAGGAGUAGUAAAAUUUAUUCUUGUGGUUCUUGUUUUCUUUGGUCUUGCUUUUCUAGUCAAAAUUAUCGUUGGAGUUCGUGCAAAACGAAGGUCCGUUUGGGGUCGUGCGUUGGAGUUUGCCUUACAAGUGGGACCGCAGUUAAGGAAACCGACUAUCGGCAAACCCCCACCUCGCCCGCCGCGCGAUGGCUGAAGUUAGAGAAAUGACGAGGUUGAAGAGAUUGCUCUAGCAUGGACUCCAAGAAAUAAUAUGGUGUCAGAUGGAUGUCGUGGUGGUGGCGUGUGUCGUACUCCUGGACGUGAAUGCUUGUUCUGGCCCAUGCCACCCUACUACUCCUACUACUUACUCCUACUAUAUAGUACUAGUAUCGAGGAUUCGAGGUGCUGGUUACGUACAGCAAACACAUUAACAUAUGGCUACAGUAAAAACACCUGCCCGACGCGUGAAGCAUGUGAAGCUAGUACAAAUAGUGUACAACUAUUGUUGAUUGGCCUCAUCCGAUAACCUGUUGCAAUGCACGUACAAUUAUGUAUUCAGAAAAAUUUUUUCCUCGUCGCACCACUCACUCAGAGAAGUGACUCGAAAGCCAUUCCUAAAUUUAGUAAGUUUAUCACAGGCAUAUCAUUUUAUUACAUACAAUAGGUCAUCAACCCACAUCGACAACGAGGAUACAUUAUAAAUACUAAAGUUUUCACCAUACAAAAAAUAACAAGCAAUAAAAUGAACUUCAACUCAACCAUUCCUCGGUGUUGGAAAUGCUUGCUUUGAACCACAAGUGAUUCUCUGGGACGGGCCAUCCAUUAUCGAUCUGGAGACCAACGCAGGACUGAUCAUCCAGGCUGAAGCGGCCUACUAUAUCAGUACCAGGGUAGGGAACCACCCAAUUGUCCGAGGUAUAGACACAGCUGCUUCUCAUAAAUGGUACUAGUAACAUUGUGUCAACAGCAGUUGGGUCACCUUUCACCAUCAUCGGAUAGUUUUGUCCAAGGAAGAGCGAGUUUUCUCCAAGACUAUCAAUUCUGUACCAGGGAGAAGGAGUUGGCGCUAGCACACUAGUAUCCAUCCCGAAUACCAUGCAAUGGGUGUUGGAAUAGGUCCGGAGAGUGCGACCAUGGGAGACUACACCUGCUUCCUUAGCAGUAACAUCAUCAGUGGGCUGUAUACACACAAGAAGAGGUGAUCCAUCGGAAUUAGUUGCCAGGCGCCACAGAGUAUAUGGGCGCUACUCGUCCUCAUGCUUGUGAUCAUCACCAUCGUCAUCUCCCCCUUGGUUAUAAAAUUUUUCAAGUAUAGGUGGUGGGAUGUUCACAAGACCUUGGAAACACAAGAAGAAGCUUAAUUAGUAAAGGGAAACUUGCUAACCCGCAUGCAUGUGGAUGAAACAAUUAUAAUUACGCUGGAAGACAAACGUACCGAAACUACGAGGAUCCCAUGCAAAACAGUGCCACGAGUGGUGGCAGCAAACACAAGGCCCUCGUAUUGAAUUGCAUCACAGUACUCAUCCAUGUACAGAAACUGAUUUUUGAGCAAUAUCCAUCGAGUCAAACCACCAAGGACGGCAACAAGCUUGUUGAAGAUAGAAUUCCAAGAGCGGUUGGGAACUUGACAAAUUGCUAUCUUCCGUAGAAGAUAAUCACCAUGAUCGUAUUUGAACGUGCGUACAAUACCGGUGUGCUCAACCUCUGGGCAGUCUGCUGAGAUUUUUGGAAGUGGAACCCGGUCACGAGUGUACACAUUCACAAGUUCCCACUCGCAGUUGGACCCAAUGUAAACAACCCAAUCUCCAUUUGCGCCUGCCCAAGCCUUGCCCUCAAGCGAUGGCAUCUUAACAUCAUACGUAUCAUUAUCAAGCGGCAUCAACUUGCACAGGCUGAGGCCUCCGUCGUGCCGGCGCCAGUCAUCAGGGUCACGGCGAAGAAGAUAGGGGAGAUCAAACCGCUCCUUGACUCUUGGGUUCCUUGUAAUGAUGUUAUUAGUGGUCUUCACUGGGAUGAAAUGAGCUACCUUGGUCAAACGAUCGACUACAACCCAUAUCGAGUCAUAGCCUGAACGAGUCCUGGGCAAUCCUGUGAUAAAAUCCAUGCCUAUCUUAUCCCACUUCAAUUCGGGUAUCGACAAUGGUUGUAGCAAUCCUGCUGGCUUCUGAUGCUCUGCCUUCACUCUUUGACAUACAUCACAAACUGCUACAAACUCCGCAAUAUCCUUCUUCAUUCCGGUCCACCAAAAACUAUCCUUCAAAUCCAGAUACAUUUUGGUAUAUCCUGGGUGAAUCAAAUACGGCGAAUCAUGGGCCUCCUGCAGAAUCAACUUCCUGAUCUCUGGGUCAUUAGGCACAUAUACGCGGACCUCAAACCAUAAGGUAUCAUGCUCAUCCUCACGAGAUCCCUUAGCUUUUCCUUUGCUCAUCUUCUCCUUUAUCUCGGCAAUCUCCUUGUCGGUCUUCUGANNNNNNNNNNNNNNNNNNNNNNNNNNNNNNNNNNNNNNNNNNNNNNNNNNNNNNNNNNNNNNNNNNNNNNNNNNNNNNNNNNNNNNNNNNNNNNNNNNNNUUUUUCUUUUAAAAUUUCACUUGUUUAAUUAACUACAUUCAAAGAACUUUCUACAGUUUUUUUAGAGAAGGACAACCUAUGAUUUGCUAGCUAGCUAGUUAGGUAUUUUAACACAACAUUAAUAGCAAGGAGAAGGAGAUGAACUGUUCACAGCCAGGCAGGCAGGUCUCGCUGGCUUUUUCCUGUAUCAUUGGCUACUCCUACUUCCUUCUCUGACAAAGACCUGUUCUGAAUCUGUAAUACUGAUUCAUAGUGAUGAUGGUGGAUCGACUAUAGACCUUUACUAAUCCAUGUACAACAAAAAUUACGACGUACAAGGUUAAAAAUCCAAGGGUCAAACCCUAGUCAAUCGAUCCGGCAAAUUCUACACGAAUCUGGCAUGACAUCCAGUGCGAUUAACAGGAGUUUCAAUUAUAAUUAGCCUCCACGAAGCUGCAUGGAGGAGGAUGUAAUCGUGUUUUGUUUCCUUGUCUGAAACUUCACUUUCCAUCAAUCUGAAAAUAAGUGGUAGAGGGUAAAGGAAUGAAAAAAAACAUAUGUAGAGGUUUUGCAACAGCUAAAGCCACACACACAAAAACAUUAGUAUGCUAGCUGGUCCAUGGCAUUGACAAGUCAAUUGAUUCGAUGCAACCAUAUGUAUGAAUAAUAUGGCCAAGGAUAAGAGAAGUAAAAAAUAUAAAUAUACUGAUAGGCUCUUCUUUUGUUCACGUGUGCAUGUUGCAUGAGCCAAGUGUAUCGGCAUUAUGGCUUGUGUUUGCUACAUGACGGCGAUAGGCCAGUUCCCAUUCAGUCAGGCAUGAUAUGUCCUAAAUUCAUUUAUUCACGUAUCGUGUAGAAGGAGAACUUAUUUCAUUUAUGUUUUGUAGGUUCCUUGCUUACAAGAAAAUAGAAAAAAAGACACUUAUAUAAUUACCAGACAAAAUCAACUGUAUAUUGCUCUAUCUUUCCUCUUUGUUCUGUAUCAGUAUCAACAAUCAUAGUACUAAUAGCUUCCUAUACUGGUGGUAAUAAAUUCAAUAAAAGAAACCUAGAAACUAUAUGAACAACUUGAAACAAUAUGUACAAACUUAGAUUAACCAACGAAUGAAAUACAAAAGAAGUGUUCAUGUCUACGUGGAGUGAAUCAAUCAAGCCACGCAAAGCCCUAAUACUUUGUUUUCUAUUAGUAACUCAUAUGACAAUACAACCGCUCCAUAUGAAAAGGUAAUACGAUGAGUCAUCUAUGCUUAUCCAUCUUACAUAUAUAUUGUACAAAAAAUAUAAAGUUAGUUCAGAAAAAAUUGUGUAUAGAACAAUCUUCGCAUUAAUAGUGUGAUCUAUCUCAAUGACACACACAAAAUUACAAACUUUGUUCCCUUAAGUAUGCCAAUCUGGAUACGCCUAACAACAUAUAGAACAUGACAAACUAACUCGGAGCAAGGGACAAAAUCUAGAUCAAUGUUUGAAGUGUAAAGUGAAUACGAUGAGUCAUUUGUCGUUAUCAAGCAUUCCAUACACCUAGAUGAUAUGUGCAAGAACAAUCAACUAUGAAGAACAAUCCAAAAUCACACUAGUAAGUAGUGCAAUGAAACACAACAUACCAAAUUAUUAGGUAAUCGAUAAGCUUAAGAGCAGUUUUUCAAGAAGCGAGUGUAAAGAUUACAAACUUAGUUCCCUUAAGUUAUGCCAAUCUGGAUAUACCUAACAACAUGCAGAACAGCACAAGCUAAAUCAGAAAGACGGACAAAAUCUAGAUCAAUAUUUGAAGUGUAAAGUGAAUACGAUGAGUCAUUAUGCGUUAUCAAGCAUUUGAUACACCCAGAUGAUAUGAGAAAGAACAAUCAACUAUGAUGAACAAUCCAAAGUCACGCUAGUAAGUAGUGCCAUCAAACACAACAUACAAAAUUAUUAGGUCGAUAAGCUUAAGAGCACUUUUUCAAGAAACGAGUGUGAAGAUCAAAAACAAAUGUGCGAUGCCAGCUAUAAAUACGACUACACCAUGAGGGUCUCUUCCAUCAUCUAACCUUCAAGGACCUAGAGUUGAAACACCAAAGCCAAGUGAGCAAUAGUAAACACAAAUCAAACAUGAAGACCUUCAUCAUAUUUGUCCUCCUUGCCAUGGCGAUGAACAUCGCCAGUGCCAGUAGGCUGCUAAGCCCUAGAGGCAAGGAAUUGCAUACUCCACAAGAACAAUUCCCCCAACAACAACAAUUCCCCCAACCACAACAAUUCCCCCAACAACAACAAUUAACGCAACAACAAUUCCCCCGGCCACAACAAUCCCCUGAACAACAAUAAUUCCCCCAACAACAAUUCCCCCAGCAACCACCACAACAAUUCCCCCAACAACAAUUUCCAAUACCAUACCCACCCCAGCAAUCACAAGAACCUUCCCCAUACCAACAAUAUCCACAACAAGAACCAUCUGGGAGCGACGUUAUAAGUAUCAGUGGCCUAUGAAAUGAAGAGAUGUAAUACUAGACGGGUGAAUCAUCGUUGUUAGUCAAUGGAGCAUAAUGUAACGAUGAUAAAUAAAGUGAUGUGCACCAUCAUGUGUAACCCCGACCUGUACUAGUCCAAACAUGGGAAUAAAAGACAAAUAAGUUCUUUUCUGAAGCACAUUGCUCGCAAUUGUUACAUUCAUGCCCUAUUUUGAUUUCCAUCCCUAACUACAAUCUCAAUGUUAUGUGACGUCUACUUAUUUAGGAAGUGUAGUAUUAUAUGAACAUAACAUAAUUAACAUGUACGAAACUUGUUUCAAAUUGAAGUACUAUUAAUUCGGGAGUAAGGACUAAUUACAAUUUAACAUUUCAAUGGAGAGUGCUACUUGUAGACUGUGUUGUUAAUUCCCCAAGGAGGAGAGGAUGAUGAAGUAUAGUACAAAUAAGUAUUUCACUAAGUUAAGAAUCAAGGUUAUCAAUCCAGUAGGUGAACCACACAAAACCUUGUUAACAGCACCUGCACACACAAAAGCAAACACUGACACCUAACGCAAAUAAGAGGCUUGUCAAUCCUCGUAGACGUUAUUUGCAAUGAUUAAUUCUCGUAGUGAUAGAUGGACAUGAGUUGUCAUUUGAUAACGUGAUCACAUCAUUAGGAGAAUGAUGUGAUUUACAAGACCCAAACUAUGAAUGUAGCAUAUGAUCUUGUCAAGUUUAUUGCUAUCGUUUUCUGCAUGUCAAUUAUAUGUUCCUAUGACCAUGAGAUCAUGCAAGUCACUGACACCGGAGGAGUGCCUUGUGCGUAUCAAACAUCACAACGUAACUGGGUGACUAUAAAGAUGCUCUACAGGUGUCUCCAAGGGUGUCUAUUGAGUUGGCAUGGAUCGAGACUGGGAUUUGUCACUCCGUAUGAUGGAGAGGUAUCUCAGGGCCCACUCGGUAAUACAACAUCACAAUAAGCUUGCAAUCAAUGUGACUAAGAAGUUAGCCACGGGAUCUUGUAUUACGAAAUAGAGAGACUUGCCGGUAACGAGAUUGCACUAGGUAUGGAGAUACCAAUGAUCGAAUCUCAGGCAAGUAACAUACCAAUGGAAAAAGGGAACUUCAUACGGGAUUGCCUGAAACCUUGACAUCGAGGUUCGACUGAUAAAGAUCUUCGUAGAAUAUGUAGGAACCAACAUGGGCAUCCAGGUCAUGUUAUUGGUCAUUGACCGUAGAGGUGUAUCGGUCAUGUGUGCAUAGUUCUCGAACCCGCAGGGUCUACACACUUAACGUUUGUUGACGAUAUAAGUAUAGUUGGGUCAUAUGGUGGUUACCGAAGNNNNNNNNNNNNNNNNNNNNNNNNNNNNNNNNNNNNNNNNNNNNNNNNNNNNNNNNNNNNNNNNNNNNNNNNNNNNNNNNNNNNNNNNNNNNNNNNNNNNGUCCUCUUCAGGUACUUCAGGAUAUUCUUGACCGCUGUCCAGUGUUCCAUGCCGGGAUUACUUUGGUACCUUCCUACCAAACUUACGGCAAGGUUUACAUCAGGUCUGGUACACAGCAUGGCAUACAUAAUAGACCCUAUGGCCGAGGCAUAGGGGAUGACACUCAUCUUUUCUCUAUCUUCUGCCGUGGUCGGGCAUUGAGCCGUGCUCAAUUGCACACCUUGCAAUACAGGCAAGAACCCCUUCUUGGACUGAUCCAUAUUGAACUUCUUCAAUAUCUUGUCAAGGUAUGUACUCUGUGAAAGACCAAUGAGGCGUCUUGAUCUAUCUCUAUAGAUCUUGAUGCCUAAUAUAUAAGCAGCUUCUCCAAGGUCCUUCAUUGAAAAACACUUAUUCAAAUAUGCCUUUAUACUUUCCAAGAAUUCUAUAUCAUUUCCCAUCAAUAAUAUGUCAUCCACAUAUAAUAUGAGAAAUGCUACAGAGCUCCCACUCACUUUCUUGUAAACACAGGCUUCUCCAUAAGUCUGUGUAAACCCAAACGCUUUGAUCAUCUCAUCAAAGCGAAUGUUCCAACUCCGAGAUGCUUGCACCAGCCCAUAGAUUGAGCGCUGGAGCUUGCAUACUUUGUUAGCAUUCUUAGGAUCGACAAAACCUUCCGGCUGCAUCAUAUACAACUCUUCCUUAAGGAAGCCAUUAAGGAAUGUCGUUUUGACGUCCAUCUGCCAUAUCUCAUAAUCAUAGUAUGCGGCAAUUUCUAACAUGAUUUGGACGAACUUCAGCUUCGCUACGGGUGAUAAAGUCUCAUCGUAGUCAACCCCUUGAACUUGUCGAUAACCCUUAGCGACAAGUCGAGCUUUGUAGAUGGUCACAUUACCAUCCGCGUCCGUCUUUUUCUUAAAGAUCCAUUUGUUUUCUAUGGCUCGCCGAUCAUCGGGCAAGUCAGUCAAAGUCCAUACUUCAUUUUCAUACAUGGAUCCUAUCUCGGAUUUCAUGGCUUCUAGCCAUUUGUCGGAAUCCGGGCCCGCCAUCGCUUCUUCAUAGUUCGAAGGUUCACCGUUGUCUAAUAACAUGAUUUCCAGGACAGGGUUGCCGUACCACUCUGGUGCGGAACGUGUCCUUGUGGACCUACGAAGUUCAGUAACUUGAUCCGAAGCUUCAUGAUCAUCAUCAUUAACUUCCUCCCCAGUCGGUGUAGGCACCACAGGAACAUUUUCCCGCGCUGCGCUACUUUCCGGUUCGGAAGAGGUGACUAUCACCUCAUCAAGUUCCACUUUCCUCCCACUCAAUUCUUUCGAGAGAAACUCCUUCUCCAGAAAGGACCCGUUCUUGGCAACGAAGAUCUUGCCUUCGGAUCUGAGGUAGAAGGUAUACCCAAUGGUUUCCUUAGGGUAUCCUAUGAAGACGCAUUUCUCCGACUUGGGUUCGAGCUUUUCAGGUUGAAGUUUCUUGACAUAAGCAUCGCAUCCCCAAACCUUUAGAAACGACAGCUUAGGUUUCUUCCCAAACCAUAAUUCAUAUGGUGUCGUCUCAACGGAUUUCGGCGGAGCCCUAUUUAAAGUGAAUGCGGCAGUCUCUAAAGCAUAGCCCCAAAAUGAGAGCGGUAAAUCGGUAAGAGACAUCAUAGGUCGCACCAUAUCCAAUAGAGUGCGAUUACGACGUUCGAACACACCAUUUCGCUGAGGUGUUCCAGGCGGCGUGAGCUGUGAAACUAUUCCACAUUUUCUUAAAUGUGCACCAAAUUCGUGACUUAAAGAUUCUCCACCACGAUCUGAUCGUAAGAAUUUUAUUCUCCUGUCACGUUGAUUCUCAACCUCACUCUAAAAUUCCUUGAACUUUUCAAAGGUUUCAGACUUGUGUUUCAUUAGGUAGACAUACCCAUAUCUACUUAAAUCAUCAGUGAGAGUGAGAACAUAACGAUAUCCUCCGCGAGCCUCAACACUCAUUGGACCGCACACAUCGGUAUGUAUGAUUUCCAAUAAGUUGGUUGCUCGCUCCAUUGUUCCGGAGAACGGAGUCUUGGUCAUCUUACCCAUGAGGCAUGGUUCGCACGUGUCAAAUGAUUCGUAAUCAAGAGACUCCAAAAGUCGAUCUGCAUGGAGCUUCUUCAUGCGCUUGACACCAGUGUGACCAAGGAGGCAGUGCCACAGAUAUGUGGGACUAUCGUUAUCAACUUUACAUCUUUUGGUAUUCACACUAUGAACAUGUGUAACAUCACGUUCGAGAUUCAUCAAGAAUAAACCAUUGACCAGCGGGGCAUGACCAUAAAACAUAUCUCUCAAAUAAAUAGAACAACCAUUAUUCUCGGAUUUAAAUGAGUAGCCAUCUCGAAUUAAAUGAGAUCCAGAUACAAUGUUCAUGCUCAAAGCUGGCACUAAAUAACAAUUAUUGAGGUUUAAAACUAAUCCCGUGGGUAGAUGCAGAGGUAGCGUGCUGACGGCGAUCACAUCGACCUUGGAACCAUUCCCGCUCGUCCUUCGCCAGUCUCCGUUUAUUCCGUAGUUCCUGUUUUGAGUUACAAAUAUGAGCAACCGCACUGGUAUCAAAUACCCAGGAGCUACUACGAGUACUGGUAAGGUACACAUCAAUUACAUGUAUAUCACAUAUACCUUUGGUGUUGCCGGCCUUCUUUUCCGCUAAGUAUUUGGGGCAGUUCCGCUUCCAGUGACCACUUCCCUUGCAAUAAAAGCACUCAGUUUCAGGCUUGGGUCCAUUCUUUGACUUCUUCCUAGUAACUGGUUUACCGGGUGCGGCAACUCCCUUACCGUCCUUCUUGAAGUUCUUCUUACCCUUGCCCUUCUUGAAGUUAGUGGUUUUAUUCACCAUCAACACUUGAUGUUCUUUUCUGAUUUCCACCUCCGCUGAUUUCAGCAUCGAAUAUACCUCAGGAAUGGUCUUUUCCAUCCCCUGCAUAUUGUAGUUCAUCACAAAGCUCUUGAAGCUUGGUGGAAGCGACUGAAGGAUUCUGUCAAUGACCGCGUCAUCCGGGAGAUUAACUCCCGGCUGAGUCAAGCGGUUGUGCAACCCAGACAUUCUGAGUAUGUGCUCACUUACAGAACUAUUUUCCUCCAUUUUACAGCUGAAGAACUUGUCGGGGACUUCAUAUCUCUCGACCCGGGCAUGAGCUUGGAAAACCAAUUUCAGCUCCUCGAACAUCUCAUAUGCUCCAUGUUUCUCAAAACGCUUUUGGAGACCCAGUUCUAAGCUGUAAAGCAUGCCGCACUGAACGAGGGAGUAAUCAUCAGCACGCUGCUGCUAAGCGUUCAUAACGUCUUGGUUUUGUGGGAUUGGUGCUUCACCUAGCGGUGCUUCUAGGACAUAAUCUUUCUUGGCUACUAUGAGGAUGAUCCUCAGGUUCCGGACCCAGUCCGUAUAGUUGCUGCCAUCAUCUUUCAGCUUGGUUUUCUCUAGGAACGCGUUGAAAUUGAGGACAACGUUGGCCAUUUGAUCUACAAGACAUAGUGUAAAGAUUUUAGACUAAGUUCAUGAUAAUUAAGUUCAUAUAAUCAAAUUAUUUAAUGAACUCCCACUCAGAUAGACAUCCCUCUAGUCAUCUAAGUGAUACAUGAUCCGAAUUUAACUAGGCCGUGUCCGAUCAUCACGUGAGACGGACUAGUCAAGAUCGGUGAACAUCUCCAUGUUGAUCGUAUCUUCUAUACGACUCAUGCUCGACCUUUCGGUCCUCCGUGUUCCGAGGCCAUGUCUGUACAUGCUAGGCUUGUCAAGUCAACCUAAGUGUAUUGCNNNNNNNNNNNNNNNNNNNNNNNNNNNNNNNNNNNNNNNNNNNNNNNNNNNNNNNNNNNNNNNNNNNNNNNNNNNNNNNNNNNNNNNNNNNNNNNNNNNNCAUCUGACGUUGGUGCGGAGGGAUACUACACUGCCGCCUACUCCACCGUCACCCGAGAGCCUUUCCACCAUCAGCGCCUGGUUCUGCAUGCUGAUGGGCUGGACCGAGCUAACAGAGCUCUUCGCCACGAGUUGUACACCACUCGUCAGCACCUUUACAGGGCUCUGACGCGGUUGCACCCCUUUGUCCGGUCUGGACAGCUGCCGCGUUCUGCGAUCUACCCAGCCAGGACCGUGAUGCCCCACGGUGUCGGAUGGCCAGAGGUGGGAGGCUACGCUCCCGCACUUGGUCCUCUUCUGCCACCUGAGCGUCGGGUUCUACACCAGAGUAUCCGCGGCCCCCAGGCCACUGACGUGGAGGACUAUCCGUUGCCUCACUACCAGCUGUCAGGUUACAGCUACCUUCACAGUACCUCCUGGGACUGAUGUAGUCUUGCUCAUUAGUUUUAGAUGCACUCGCGAGCCUGCGUGCCGCCUAUGAUGACUUAGUCUAUGUACGGAACUCUAUGUCCGACCCCUUUUGUAAGUUAUGCCGACUAUCUAUGUGGUAUCUGUCGUGCUCCUUCCAUUAUGCAUGUUUCAUCAUGAAUGACUCUUGUCUAUGCAAAUUCUCAAUACUGAACUACCCCUGUUAUAUAUUAGCAGGAUGGUUAGACCAGCUGGUCGUGGUCGUGGUGGCAAUUUCCCACCACCGCCUGAGUACAUGGCUGGUAUGAUCCAACAACUUGAGAUGAAUCGCCAGUUCAUGGAAAACAUGAUGGCUCAGUUUCCUCGCCCCAAUAUGAACCAGCAUCCAAACACAACCACUCUGCAGGAUUUCAUACGCCUCAACCCAAGUGUGUACCGCAGCUCAACCCAGCCGCUGGAUGCUGAUGACUGGCUCCGUGACAUCACCUAUGAGAUGGAGUCUGCUGAUGUAGCCCCUGCCAGCUAUGUCACUUUUGCUUCCUUCUUCCUGAAGGGACCCGCAGCUCAAUGGUGGGACAGCCACAGGCGUACUCUGCCAGUUGGAACAAUCAUCACCUGGCCAGACUUUCAGGCUGCCUUCCGUGCCCGCUUCAUUCCUCAGGGAAUCAUGGACAGGAAGAAGCGUGAGUUUCGCAACCUCACCCAAGGCAACAAGACUGUUGAAGCUUAUCAGCGGGAGUUUCUGGACUUAUCCCGCUAUGCUGAAGAAGACGUUGCAACCGAUGCUCGCAGACAGGAGAAGUUCCGUGAAGGCCUUCAAGCUGACAUCAAGCUCACACUUCUAGUGCACGACUUUGCUGAUUUCGCCACCUUGGUGAAUAAGGCCAUCAAUGUUGAGACUGGUCUUCAAGAACACCAUAGCUCUCAAAGGCGCAACCGUGACACGGGCUCAUCUUCGGGCCCGCCCUCGCAGAAGCGUAAGAUAUGGAUCCCGAACAGCAUGUACCGUCCAAAUGCACCAGCUCCAAGGCAGUCGUACGCUGCACCUCGUCCGCCUACUGCUCCAACUAGGCUGCCAAGGCUUCCAGCUCCGCCACCCCAAGCUCCUGUUCCCACUCCCAAUAAUGGCCUGUGCUACAAGUGUGGUCAACCAGGUCACCGUGCUAGGGAUUGCAUUCAGAAUCAGAAUCAACUGGCCCUUCCAGCCGCUGGCCGUGGAAACAACCAGGCCCGCAACAACAAUGCCAAGUCUUAUGGCCGUGUUCAUGCCAACCACAUUGAUCUGAAUGAAGCUCGAGACCAGCCUGCUACUGUGAUGGGUACACUCCUCGUAAAUUCAGUACCAGCAUCUGUUUUAUUUGAUACAGGAGCAUCGCAUUCAUUCAUGUCAGAAGAUUUUGCAUUCAUGCAUGGCAUUAAAAGUGAAGACAUGAACGCUUCUCUAUUAGUGCACACCCCUGCGGGCCAAUGUCGAACCUCCAUGAUUUGCAACGACGUCCCUGUAGAAAUUGAAGGACUGGAAUUCCUUGUCUCUCCCAUCGUACUGAAGUCCUGUAGCAUUGAUCUCAUUCUGGGAAUGGAUUGGUUAAAGGCGCAUACUGCUUCUAUCGUUUGCGCCACUAAGACCGUCCAUCUGCUACACCCUUCUGAUGAAAUAAUUAGCUAUGAUGCUCAUCUGGUUCGGAAUGCCGAGGCCAGGCUUUAUGCCUUAAACGCAUUGAACGUUGCACCACUCAAGGGCAUUGAAAACAUUCCCGUCGUGCGUGAAUUCCUAGACGUCUUUCCUGAAGAACUCCCAGGGAUUCCCCCUGCUAGAGCUGUCGAAUUCGUCAUCGACUUGAAACCAGGCACCACUCCUAUAGCCAAGAGACCCUACAAGAUGCCGCCGCAUGAACUCCUUGAGCUUAAGGAGGAAAUCGAUAAAUCUCUUCAAAGUGGUUUCAUUCGCCCAAGUUGCUCUCCUUGGGGAGCACCUUCUCUCUUUGUCAAGAAGAAAGAUGGGACAAACCGAUUGGUCCAAGACUACCGUCCUAUAAAUCAAGCUACCAUUCAGAAUAAGUAUCCUCUUCCUCGGAUCAAUGAUCUGUAUGAUCAGUUGGAUGGUUCAUCGGUGUUCUCUAAACUCGACUUGAGGUUGGGUUACCACCAGAUCCGUGUUCGUGAGGAAGAUAUCCCCAAGACCGCCUUUGUGACUCGUUAUGGUUCAUACGAGUACACCGUCAUGUCUUUCGGCUUAACCAAUGCUCCAGCCACCUUCUCUCGCCUGAUGAACUAUAUAUUCAUGGAUUACCUCGACAAGUUCGUCGUGGUUUAUCUGGAUGAUAUUCUAGUAUUUUCCAAGAACGAAGAGGAACAUGCUGAACAUCUUCGCCUCGUGCUGGAAAAGCUACGAGAGCAUCAACUUUAUGCCAAGUUCUCCAAAUGUGAAUUCUGGCUUCCCGAAGUAACCUAUCUUGGGCAUGUCAUCUCUAAGGAUGGUAUUGCCGUCAACCCUGAACGAGUUCAGGCUAUUCUCGAUUGGACUCCUCCGAAGAACGUUAAGCAAGUCAGAAGUUUUCUCGGUCUCGCCAGCUACUGCCGUCGAUUCGUCAAGAACUUCUCCAAGAUUGCCAGGCCUCUGACUAACCUAUUGCAUAAGGGCGUCAAGUUCCAAUGGACAGAUAAAUGUCAGGAAAGUUUCCAGGCACUCAAGGACAAGUUGACUUCUGCCCCAGUACUAGCUCCUCCUGAUACUAUGAAGGACUUCGUCAUUUACUGCGACGCUUCCCGUCAAGGACUAGGCUGUGUCCUAAUGCAAGAGCGCACAGUGGUUGCUUAUGCCUCUCGGCAAUUGCGCCCUCACGAGGAGAACUACCCAGUUCACGACCUCGAACUUGCUGCUGUCAUUCAUGCGCUAAAACAGUGGCGACAUUACCUACUCGGUAAUCGCUGCGAGAUCUUCACUGACCACCAAAGUCUGAAGUAUCUGUUUACUCAGCCAGACCUGAACCUCCGUCAACAGAGAUGGAUGGAGACUGUUGCAGACUUUGAUUUGGGUAUUUCCUAUACACCAGGCAAGGCUAAUGUAAUGGCUGAUGCCUUGAGCCGCAAGUCUUACUGCAACCACCUCCAGGUUCACAAAGUCCAGCCCUCACUUGUUGAAGAAUUCAGAAAGCUAAACCUCCAUAUUGUACCUCCGGGUGCACUCGCUCCCCCUCCUCCGGAGUUCCGCAAGAUGAAUCUCCGUGUUGUUUCCCAGGGUUCCCUCUAUACCCUGGCUGUUGAACCCGAUCUCGUGGGCACCAUAAAGACAAUGCAGGGAUUUGACUCUGAAGUCUACAAGAUUAAGCAAGANNNNNNNNNNNNNNNNNNNNNNNNNNNNNNNNNNNNNNNNNNNNNNNNNNNNNNNNNNNNNNNNNNNNNNNNNNNNNNNNNNNNNNNNNNNNNNNNNNNNUUGGGCUUCCGCUUGAAGGUUGCCGAGUACACGUCGUGUAGCAACGAUAAGUGGUGGGAGCGUGUGUGACGAAGUACACCCCUGCAGGGUAUGAAACUAUUCGAAUAGCCGCGUCCGCGGUAAAGGACUACUUGGUCGCUUAUGCAGUUCAUAGACAAGUAAAUGGAUACUAUUACAAGCCUCAAGAUAAGUGUGAGUACCGCGGAUGGCUCUCUCGUGGGAUGACGAGGGAGGAUCCACGGUGGAGUAUUGAGAUGGUGAUUAGUGGACUCGUGUGCGAAAACUAUUUCACAAGUGGUGUCUCGUAGGAUAGCUUAGCCAAGAGUCAAAGCUGGCUUGCUGCAAUAACUCCACUACCUUCUUGAGAAUGAACAUGUAUAGUAGGAUCUGUUGUAAGACUUGCUGAGUACCUUUGUACUCAUGUUGCUUCAAUUACUGUUUUCAGACGACAACACCGCCCCUUCCGAUGGGUUCUACGUAGAACUCGACAACGACGAGUGACUUUCCACCCAGGUGGUGAUCUAGGCUUGUGAAGGGCCUACGUAGAUAGACAGGCUUCGUCAAGCCUUCUUUCUUUCUAGCGUCUGUACCCAGACAGUUUGCUUCCGCAUGUGCUUGUAUGAUUGUAUGACUUGAGUGUCGGGUCAUGUGACCCCUAUCUGUAUGAACAAGUUAUGUAAGGCUCUCCGGAGCCCUUUAAAUAAAGUACUUUGAGUUGUAGAGUUUUGUUGUGAUGCCAUGUUGUAUUUGCACAUAUCGAGCAUAUUGUGUGUAUGAUUGAAAUGCUUGGUAUGUGUGGGAUCCUACAAUCUAGUUGUUUAUCCUUGGCAGCCUCUCUUAAUGGGAAAUGUUGUCUAGUGCCUCUUUGAGCCAUAGUAGUCCGCUACAGCCCGGUUCACCGGAGUCCUGCUAGCCCAGCACUACUGCUCUGGACACUUGACUGGCCGGCAUGUGAUUCAUAUCGUUCCUGUGUCUGUCCCUUCGGGGAAAUGUCAUGCGGUGACAUCUGGAGUCCUGCCUAGCCUGCUACAGCCCGGGUUCCCGGAGUCCUGUUAGCCCAGUGCUACAGCCCGGAUUCACACGAUGCUGACCGACACGUUCGAUAUUGAUUCAUGUAUGCCUGUCCCCAUACGUUAGUGCCGCUUUGGGUUCACGACUAGCCAUGUCCGCCCGGGUUCUCUGUCAUAUGGAUGCUAGCGACAUUGUCAUAUACGUGAGCCAAAAGGCGCAAACGGUCCCGGGCCAUGGUAAGGCGACACCCGUGGGAGUAUCGUGCGUGAGGCCGCAAUGUGAUAUGAGGUGUUACAGGCUAGAUCGGUGUGACUUGGAAUCGGGGUCCUGACAGCGUUGGCAUCAGAGCCGGACUGCCUGUAGGUGCGCUAAGCCAAACUGGUCGAUGUCGAGUCUAGAAAUGCUGUAGUUAUAUGUAGGGGAAUUGAUUGUGGGAGGGAACGUAAGGAGCUUUUACUCCUUACCUUAUGCCCUCUGAUCUGAGUCAUUCUCUUCUCAUUCUACGUGGGUUAAGGACUAGGCUCUCUUCUGUCUAUCAGGUUCACGUGUUACUAAUCCGUAGUAACUUAUAGGAUUGUUGGUUCCAUGCUUCGGUUCAGUUUCUACUACACUUGGUAUGCUGUCAGUUGAACCAGAACCUUGAUAUGAUGUUGUUGAGUGGUAUUGCAAAACUGUUGCAAAUGUCUCAAAUCCUUUUCCAAGCAUUUACAGCCGUUAUGCUGUCAGAUCUAUCAGAUCUCACUCUCGUAAGUGACCGUGAAGGGAUUGCAACCCCUUUAUCGUGUUGGUUGCGAGUUUCUUAUUUGUUUGUGUAGGUGCGUGGGACUUGUGCAUGAUCUCCUACUGGAUUGAUACCUAGGUUCUCAAAAACUAAGGGAAAUACUUACGCUACUUUACUGCAUCAACCCUUUCCUCUUCAAGGGAAAACCAACGCAGUGCUCAAGAGGUAGGAAGGCGCUCGGGCACCACAUGGAGGCAUUCUUCAUCGCACGCGUCCCUCAUGAGGGCACAAGGCAUGGAGUGCGUGGUGCUCAGGAGUUCAUCACCAAGGCGACCGAGGAGCUUCAAGAGGCAAGAGCCAUGCGCGGCGUCCGUAGCCCAGCACCUGGCGCAGCUCCUUGUCCUGGCGAGGACGACGAGCUGCGCGUAAGCGUCAACAUCCCAGGGCUCAACAGGGCCGCAUCCCAAGAGCGCUUCUGGCCUUCGCGCGUUGGUCGGUGCGAGGGUCCACCUCACAGCUAAGUUCGCAUGCCAUUGGGCUUGGCAAUCGCGGCUGUUACCUUCCAACGUUGCCUGCGGAGCGUACUGGCGGCUCAGGAGGCCAGGCAUCAGGCGGUCCAGGCAGAGAUGGCGACGGUCCUUCAUGAGCCUCCCAAGCCCCAGUGCCUCACGAGGCUCAGGACCCAGGCGGCUCGUGAGGAGAGGCUUCUUCGACAUGCGUCUUUGGCUGCUCCAACCUCUCUCCAGCAACGGUGCCAGGUGACUCUUUCCGGUUCAUUCAGUUGGGGGUGCCCCUCGGGCUGCGUUAUCCCCAAGUCGCACGGGCCUGUCCCUGCGACAUGUAUCCUUUGCAUCUUUAAUCUACUCUAUUGGGGGCGCCCCUCGGGCUGCAUUAUCCCCAGGCUGCAUGGGUACCUCCCUGCGGCAUGUAUCGUUCUCGCAUUAACCAGAACUAGCUUGCCUCCUCCCAUGAGUUACUUUAUGAUUAUCGCCUACUUGCCUGUUGCCCUUCGCGGCCUCCCACGUUGCUGACCGGUCUCCUGCUCAUCCCGCAUCGGGGGCUCCACAUGCUGGCACGGCGCUUGUGCUCGGGUCCGUCCCUGCAACGCUGACAAACCUGAGUGAUCGAGCCCUGGCUCGCGGCCUGCCCUAUGCACGUAACCUCACCGGAUCCUUAGUGCCUUCAUCUUCUUGCGAAAAGAUCAGCGGCAGGACAGCAAACGCGAUUAUGAGCCGUAUUCUCCUCUCGAACUAACCCGCAGGAAUCUCUGGAGUUUAGCUACGGGUGGCCCCGCCGGCUACCCUCCUUUCGUACGAUUCGCUUGCGCGUUAAAGGGGGGCUCCUGAGCAUCGCGCCUCAGGAGCUCCUACUGACUCUCUAGCCCUCACCCCCUGGCCUUGACAACGGCAUCAUGACCUGGCAUGCCAGUGGCGGCUGAGCUUCGCUCGAGGGUCGGGACCCGAGGACGCAGAGCACUUAGAUGAGCGAGGAAGGAGGAAGCCGGCGUGAGCCUCGCCUGGUAACACCGUCGCUCAAGCACAAGUCAGACGCUGCACAGGGAACCACCUCGGGCUCGAUAAGAUAAGUCACAUAUUCGUGUUAGCGCUACGCUGCAGUUGGGAAUUUUCGACUCUCGCAACCUUGCUCCGGCAAUGCUGCCUUCCUUUUUAGCCUUCAGGAAGCUACUUGCACGCCAAAGGGGACCUCUUGAGCAUCACGCCUCAGGAGCUCUUACCGGACCUUGGUCCGCUCACCUCCUGGCCUUGAUCACGGCAUCGCAACCUGGCAUACCAGCGAUGGCUGAAGCUUGCCUGGGGACUGGGACAUGCCGACGUAGAGCGCUAAGCUGCCGCGAGGACAAAAAGGGGGGACAGUGCCGAAGCAAGACAUGCAACCACAAUAUUAUAGUAGGAAUAAUGAACAUCGGAGCAAAAGCAUUACAGUUUCUUUACACACACCCACGGGGUUCGUCUCGAUUCAUCGCAGGGAACAAAAGAAGGAAAAACCCNNNNNNNNNNNNNNNNNNNNNNNNNNNNNNNNNNNNNNNNNNNNNNNNNNNNNNNNNNNNNNNNNNNNNNNNNNNNNNNNNNNNNNNNNNNNNNNNNNNNUCUGCUUCGCUGGGUCUAGGUAUCUGCUUAUCUUCCCCGCGUAACCGUAAGGAAGUUUUACUCCUAGGAGGCAGGUGAAAAACUGCUCGAUCUCCUCCUGACUUAGAGUGAAGCACGCGGGAGGGUAGUCAUUUCCGGUCUUCUUGGCCUUUUUGCCUUUGCGACGACUUUCUGUGUCCUGCUUCGCCUCAUCAUCAUCAUCAUCAUCAUCAUAUAUAGCGUGAAGCUCCUGCCUGAUGCCCAUUGAUUUCAAGUCUGCCCUUGCUUUCGGCCCAUCUUUGGUCCUCUCUGGCAUGUUGAGCAGGGUACCAAGAAGACUCUCGCACACGUUCUUCGUGAUAUGCAUGACAUCAAGGCUGUGAGGCACACGGUGGAUCUUCCAGUACGGCAAGUCCCAGAAAACAGACCUCGUUUUCCAUACCUUCAGCAGCGGCUCUGGCGCCUUUCGCUUCUUUCCCGGCUCCGGCGCCUUUUGCUUCUUUCCCGGCAGUGGGCAGUCUUUCCAAUUUUUCAACAGCUUGUCUAUUUCCUCGCCGCUCCUCGUACACGGGCGUUUUCGGGGUUCGGUUUCACCAUCGAACAGAUCCUUGCGUUUCCUCCACGGGUCAUCGUCGCGAAGCCACCUUCGAUGUCCCAUGAACACGGUUUUCGAAGACUCGGGAUCUCUAUCUAGCUGGCGAUACGUUGUGUCAUCCAUGCACCUUACGCAUCCAGAAAAUCCAUGGACUACCUGCCCCGCAAGAUAUCCGUAACCGAGAUAGUCGUGCACCGUCGUGAGCAGUGCGGCUCUCAUAGGGAAAUAUUCUUUCUCUGCGGCGUCCCACGUAUUGGCUGGCGUUUUCCACAGCGUGUCAAGCUCCUCUUUCAGCAGCCCCAGAUACAGAUUGAUGUCGUUCCCUGGUUGUUUCGGCCCUUCAAUUAGCAUACUCAUGUGAAUGUACUUCCUCUUCAUGCACAACCAGGGGGGAAGGUUGUACAUCCACACAAACACAGGCCAGGUGCUAUGUGUGCUUCUCUGGCUGCCAAACGGAUUGACUCCAUCGGUGCUCGCGCCCAGCACGAUGUUCCUUGGAUCGUUCCCAAAUUCUGGGUAUUCGAAGUUCAAAGCUUGCCACUGGCUCGCAUCCUUAGGGUGACUCAGCAUCUUGUCUUUUUUAUCUAUCUCCGGAUCAUUUGUGUCAUCUUCUCGCUUCUUCUCCUCCCUAUCCGCGUGCCAACGCAGGAGCUUUGCUACCUUAGGAUCCGCGAAAUACCGCUGCAGACGAGGAGUGAUCGGAAAGUACCACACCACUUUUCGAGGAGCUAUCUUCCUCUUCUUGUAUCGAGUGACACCGCACACCGGACAUAUGGUAGACUCCGCGUGCUCGUCCCGAUAAAUGAUGCAACUGUUCAUGCACACAUGGUAUUUCACGUGCGGUAAAUCCAGAGGACACACGAUUUUCUUCGCCUCCUCCAAACUGGUCGGGCACUUGUUCCCCUUGGGAAGACGUUCGUGCCAGAAUGACAUGUUCUAGUCGAAGCAUGCGUCGGUCAUUUUGUGUUUUACCUUCAUCUCCAGAGCCAUGAGCGUUACUUUCAGGCGGGUAUCCUCGGGCCUGCAUCCUUCAUACAAUGGAGUAACCGCGUCUAACUCAAGUUGAUCCAUCUUGGCUUUCUCUCGGGCGGCAGCUCUUGCGUUAUCCGUCUGCUUGAGAAGCAGCUCUUGAAUAUGAGGGUCCUGCACCCAGCCCAUCGAUGGUCCAGCGUCGUCUGCUCCGCCGGCAUCAUCAUCAUGUCCUGCAUCUUCUACAUGAUGACUGUGUACAGCAUCACCGUCGUGAUCAUCUCCUGGGGAUUCUUCGUCUUCUCGCCCCCCCGAGCCGCGGUGGUUGUCUUGCUGCCCUUCCUCAUUUCUUGCCCGGCCCCCAUGGAUGACUUCAUAGUCAUCUUCAUCACCUUGCCACCGAUAGCCAUCCAUGAAACCACGCAAGAGCAGGUGGUCCCUCACCUGCCCGGAAUCCGGAUCCACAAUAAGGCUAUUCAGCUUGCAUCUUCGACACGGACAUCUUAUCUCCGUCUCGUUCUUUUGAAGCAUCUCGGCCUUCGCGGACCUCAAAAACCUAUUCACGAUGCCUUCGAUCAUCGUGCGGACCAUGGUCGCCUGCGGGGUAGAGCAAAACGAUAUUUUAGAACCAAGAAAAAAUUUGGCAUGACUUUCCCUAAAAAUAGGACCAAAAAGAAUGCUUAAUGCCAAAAUUCUCGCCGAAACGGAAAUGAAUCAACAUUCCGGCAAAAUAUUGGCAACUAUCGCAUUUCAAAUACCGGUACACCUCCAAACACAAACACAUAUGCAACACCACAAACAUAUGCAACACCACGAACAUACAUAUAUCUAGCUAGGCCAUAAAAAAUGCAUGUGCACAUUGUUGUAGGGAGAACAACAUAAAUAUAGCUUCCCCCCUUACUUACCCAUCAAAACAAGGUAACUUAACCACUUAAUUUGAAUGAAUCUAUGGUGGAAAUGAGGUGAAAAAGAGGAGGCACCCGAGACAAGGAGGAGGCGGUGGAGAGAAUGAAGUGGGGAGAAAGUGAGUGUGGGAGGAGAGGCUGUCCAAAAUAUCUUGUUGCUGCCCACUUACUAAUGCCGCACCAGCAACAAAUGCGCCAUUAGUAAUCCAGGUUACUAAUGGUGCACCCUCUGGUGGUGCGCCAUUAGUAGUUUUGCAAAAAAAAACACACUAAUGGCGCACACUGCCACGGUGCGCCAUUACUAGUUUGAACUAGUAAUGGCGCACCGCGUGCGAGUGCACCAUUAGUACUUUUGCAAACAAAGGAAUAAAAACAAUAAUAAAAAAAUAACAUUAGUGGCGCACCUUCUGGCUGGUGCGCCAUUACUAGUUACAACUAGUAAUGGCGCACCACCAGUGGAUGCGUCAUUAGUAUGUUUGGACAGGCGCACUAAUUCAAAAAAAAAUUUGGUACUAAUGGCGCACCGUGGGCAGGGUGCGCCAUUAGUAGUUUCAACACUAAUGGCGCAUCAGAAGGUGGUCCACAUGUCUGGUGCACCAUUAGUGUCAAUUCCAUCUAUAGCCCUUUUCCUAGUAGUGCAAAGCUCUCUCCUCGCCGGCCAGGAAAAACAGAGCAGUGGGAGUGCUCUGCUCGCGGGCGAGGGGUAUAUAUAGGUAAUUAAUUGGUCCCGGUUGGUGGCACGAACCGGGACUAAAGGGCAGCCUUUGGUCCCGGUUCAAGCCACCAACCAGGACCAAUGGUGGUGGCCAAGAGCGAGGCACAUUGGUCCCGGUUCGUCCCACCAACCGGGACCAAAAGGUCCAGACGAACCGGGACCAACGGCCCACGUGGCCCGGCCGUCCCCCGGGGCUCACGAACCGGGUCCAAUGCCCCCAUGGGUCCCGGUUCUGGAUUGAACCGGGACUAAUGGGCUGACCUGGCCUGGACCAUUGCCCCCUUUUCUACUAGUGCUGGAAGACACACUGUUGAGAUAUAGAUAUUGCAUGUGUAUUUCUUGUACAACAAGCCCUCCUCCUUCCUUGUAUAGUUGAGGACGUGGCCCUCCUAUGUACCUGUAUAUACGUGCAUAUUGCACCCGAUGAAUAUAUCGUGAGCUGCAUAAUUCUCUACAUGGUAUCAGCCUUAGUCCGAUCCCUCCUACCCUAGUGCGUCGCCGUUGCUUCCAAGCCGCCGCCGCUUCACAAGCUACGCCCGCGUCACCGAGUUCUAGCCGCCACCGUAGCCUCCCCCACNNNNNNNNNNNNNNNNNNNNNNNNNNNNNNNNNNNNNNNNNNNNNNNNNNNNNNNNNNNNNNNNNNNNNNNNNNNNNNNNNNNNNNNNNNNNNNNNNNNNCUUUUAAGAAAUGAUAGCUUAGGUUUCUCUAAACCAUAGUUCAUACGGUGUCAUCUCAUCAGAAUUACGUGGUGCCCUAUUUAAAGUGAAUGUGGUUGUCUCUAAUGCCCAACCCAUAAAACUAUUGUGGUAAUUCAAUGAGAGACAUCAUGGUAUGCAUCAUAUCCAAUAGGGUGCAGUUAUGAUGUUCGGACACACCAUCACACUAUGGUGUUCCAGGCUGUAUUAGUUGUGAAACAAUUUCCACAAUGUCUUAAUUCUGUGCCAAACUCAUAAUUCAGAUAUUCAUCUCUAUGAUCAUAUCAUAGAUCUUUUAUCCUCUUGUCACGACGAUCUUUCAACUUCACCCUGAAAUUACUUGAACCGUUCAAUAAUUCAGACUCGUGAUUCAUCAAGUAAAUAUACUCAACAUCUACUCAAAUCGUCUAUGAAGUAAGAACAUAACGACAUCCACUACACGCCUCAGCACUCAUUGGACUGCACACAUCAAAAUGUAUUACUUCCAACAAGUUGCUUUCUAGUUCCAUUUUACUGAAACCGAGGCUUUCAGUCAUCUUGCCCAUGUGGUAUGAUUUGCAUGUCUCAAGUGAUUCAAGAUCAAGUGAGUCCAAACGGUCCAUUUGCAUGGAGUUUCUUCAUGCAUAAACACCAAUAGACAUGGUUCGCAUGUCUCAAACUUUUCAAAAACGAGUGAGCCCAAAGAUCCAUCAACAUGGAGCUUCUUCAUGUGUUUUAUACCGAUAUGACUUAAGUGGCAGUGCCACAGGUAGGUGGUACUAUCAUUACUAUCUUAUACCUUUUGGCAUGAACAUGUGUAUCACUACGAUCGAGAUUCAAUAAACUAUUCAUUUUAGGUGCAAGACCAUUGAAGGUAUUAUUCAAAUAAAUAGAGUAACUAUUAUUCUCUUUAAAUGAAUAACCGUAUUGCGAUAGACAUAAUCCAAUCAUGUCUAUGCUCAACGCAAACACCAAUCUCGAUGGUAGAGGGAGCGUGCGAUGCUUGAUCAUAUCAACAUUGGAAACACUUCCAACACAUAUCGUCAGCUCACCUUUAGCUAGUCUCCGUUCAUUCCGUAGCCUUUUGUUUCGAGUUACUAACACUUAGCAACCGAACCGGUAUCUAAUACCCUGGUGCUACUAGGACUACUAGUAAAGUACACAUCAACACAAUGUAUAUCCAAUAUACUUCUAUCGACCUUGCCAGCCUUCUCAUCUACCAAGUAUCUAGGGUAAUUCUGCUCCAGUGGCUGUUCCCCUCAUUACAGAAGCACUUAGUCUCGGGUUUGGGUUCAACCUUGGGUUUCUUCACUAGAGCAGCAGGUGUUUUGCCGUUUCAUGAAGCAUCCCUUUUGCCCUUGCCCUCCUUGAAACUAGUGGUUUCACAAACCAUCAACAAUUGAUGCUCCUUCUUGAUUUCUACUUUCGCGGUGUCAAACAUCGCAAAUAUUUCAAGGAUCAUCAUAUAUGUCCCAGAUACAUUAUAGUUCAUCACAAAGCUCUAGCAGCUUGGUGGCAAUGACUUUGGAGAAACAUCACUAUCUCAUAUGGAAGAUCAACUCCCACUCGAUUCAAAUGAUUGUUGUACUCAGACAAUCUGAGCACAAGCUCAACAAUUGAGCUUUUCUCCCUUAGUUUGCAGGCUAAGAAAAUCGUCGGAGGUCUUAUACCUCUUGACGUGGGAACGAGCCUGAAAUCCCAAUUUCAGCCCUCGAAACAUCUCAUAUGUUUCGCGACGUUUCAAAACGUCUUCGGUGCCUCAACUCUAAACCGUUUAACUAGACUAUCACGUAGUUAUCAAAACGUGUAUGUCAGAUGUUCGCAACAUCCAUAGACAAUGUUCGAGGUUUAGCACACUGAGCGGUGCAUUAAGGACAUAAGCCUUCUAUGAAGCAAUGAGGACAAUCCUCAGUUUACGGACCUAGUCCGCAUAAUUGCUACUAUUAACUUUCAACUAAUUUUUCUCUAGGAACAUAUCUAAACAGUAGAACUAAAGCGCGAGCUACGACAUAAUUUGCGAAGACCUUUUGACUAUGUUCAGGAUAAUUAAGUUCAUCUUAUGAACUCCCACUCAGAUAGACAUCCCUCCAAUCAUCUAAGUGAUUACAUGAUCCGAGUCAACUAGGCCGUGUCCGAUCAUCACGUGAGACGGACUAGUCAUCAUCGGUGAACAUCUUCAUGUUGAUCGUAUCUACCAUACGACUCAUGCUCGACCUUUCGGUCUCUUGUGUUCCGAGGCCAUGUCUAUACAUGCUAGGCUCGUCAAGUUAACCCUAAGUGUUUUGCAUGUGUAAAAUUGUCUUACACCCGUUGUAUGUGAACGUAAGGAUCUAUCACACCCGAUCAUCACGUGGUGCUUCGAAACGACGAACUUUAGCAACGGUGCAUAGUUAGGGGAGAACACAUUCUUGAAAUUGUAAUGAGGUAUCAUCUUAUUUAUUACCGUCAUUCUAAGCAGAUAAGAUGUAUAAACAUGAUAAACAUCACAUGCAAUCAAAUAAUAGUGAUAUGAUAUGGCCAAUAUCAUAUAGCUCCUUUGAUCUCCAUCUUGGGGCUCCAUGAUCAUCUUGUCACCGACAUGACACCAUGAUCUCCAUCAUCAUGAUCUCUAUCAUCGUGUCUUCAUGACGUUGUCUCGUCAACUAUUACUUCUACUACUAUAGCUAACGGUUAGCAAUAAAGUAAAGUAAUUACAUGACGUUUAUGUUGACACGCAGGUCAUAAAUAAAUUAAGACAACUCCUAUGGCUCCUGCCGGUUGUCAUACUCAUCGACAUGCAAGUCGUGAUUCCUAUUACAAGAACAUGAUCAAUCUCAUACAUCACAUAUAUCAUUCAUCACAUCCUUUUGGCCAUAUCACAUCACAUAGCAUACCCUGCAAAAACAAGUUAGACGUCCUCUAAUUGUUGUUUGCAUGUUUUACGUGGCUGCUAUGGGUUUCUAGCAAGAACGUUUCUUACCUACGCAAAACCACAACGUGAUAUGCCAAUUGCUAUUUACCCUUCAUAAGGACCCUUUUCAUCGAAUCCGACCCGACUAAAGCGGGAGAGACAGACACCCGCCAGCCACCUUAUGCAAGUAGUGCAUGUUUGUCGGUGGAACCGGUCUCACGUAAGCAUACAUGUAAGGUUGGUCCGGGCCGCUUCAUCCCACAAUACCGUCGAAUCAAGAUAAGGCUAGUAAUGGCAAGCAUAUUGAACAAAGUCAACGCCCACAACUUCUUUGUGUUCUACUCGUGCAUAGAAUCUACGCAUAGACCUAGCUCAUGAUGCCACUGUUGGGGAACGUAGCAGAAAUUCAAAAUUUUCCUACGUGUCACCAAGAUCUAUCUAUGGAGAAACCAGCAACGAGGGGAAGGAGAGUGCAUCUACAUACCCUUGUAGAUCGCUAAGCGGAAGCGUUCAAGUGAACGGGGUUGAUGGAGUCGUACUCGUCGUGAUCCAAAUCACCGAUGACCAAGUGCCGAACGCACGGCACCUCCGCGUUCAACACACGUACAGCCUGGUGACGUCUCCCAUGCCUUGAUCCAGCAAGGAGAGAGGGAGAGGUUGAGGAAGACUCCAUCCAGCAGCAGCACAACGGCGUGGUGGUGGUGGAGGAGCGUGGCAAUCCUGCAGGGCUUCGCCAAGCACCACGGGAGAGGAGAAGGACUUGGGAGAGGGGAGGGAUGAACCAAAGGCAAAGGUAUGGCUGCCCUCCCACCCCCACACAUAUAUAUAGGGGCAAGGGAGAGGGGGGGGGGGNNNNNNNNNNNNNNNNNNNNNNNNNNNNNNNNNNNNNNNNNNNNNNNNNNNNNNNNNNNNNNNNNNNNNNNNNNNNNNNNNNNNNNNNNNNNNNNNNNNNCGACCCCCCCUCGUGUUGAAGUUAUCGGGAGAGGGGUAUAUCGACGACGACAGACCCGAUAAAACAUAAGAAAACGAAGAAGAAACAAAAAGAGGAGAAGAAGAAAAGGAAUAGAGGAGAAGAUCGAAGAAAAAAAGAAGAAAAAAAAAGAGGAGAAGAAGAAAGGAAUAGAGGAGAGAAGAAGAAUUUUCUAUUUUUUUCUUCUUCUCUUCUUUUUCUUCUUUUUUCCUCUUCUUAUUUAUUUCUCCUCUUCUUCCUCUCCUCUUCUUCUCCUUUCUUCCUCUUCUUAUUUUCCUUUUUCCUCUCAUUCAUAAAAAAAUGUUCAAAUAGAAAAUUUCGAAAAAAAAGUAAAGGUUUUGCCUAAUGCAUUGUUCAUAUGAAUAUACAAACAUUUGCAUAUUCUACAAUAAUUAAUAUCACCAAAAAAAUCUAUGAACAGAAAAAAAA
rnacentral:lncRNA from 1 species